UUUUUUUUUUUCUUUUUUGAUAACCGAGAAAUCCGUUUGUGACCCGCCCUUUGGACCAAUCACAGCCUUCUAAACUCGGUGGAUAAUGGGCCCGCCCCUCUACCCUUCUCCACUUAAAUACCGGGCUUCGAAGAUUGGGCUACUUAUUUAAGACAAUGUAAUCGAUAUAUUGCUUCACUUGAUUGAGUUUUUUCUCUUUCAUUUUCUCACUUUACUUCACAUGAGUCCGGCCGAGUUGAUCUUUUGGUGGACCGGACCGGUCGCAACCUGGGCCGUUCACACCCUUAAUUUCUGUUCACUUGGAGAAACUGUUUCACUAGCAGUUCUAGAGCUUGUAAAUUCUAUCUAGUGUAACAUUCGAGAUUUUGUUCUUCUAACCAAUUUUGGAUCAACAAGAUACUUAAACGCCUAUGAUCUCUAAGAUUCUUCAUGCCACAUGCCAAAUCUUCACUUUAUGUACUUCAAAUGCUUGAGUUAAAAAAAUUCAUAGCUUUGUGUUUCAGAAAUCUGGUUUUCAUGUGUAGGCCAGGGAUCUUACUCAAUCGAAGCAACCAUCAAAGAUAAUCUUUCGAGUGUAUGGUUGUGUAGCAACCUGCCAAGACAUGGUGGAACAUUUAAAUCCUUCAAAAUCUUUCAAUAAGGUACAUACUUUAGUGUUCAAGUAUGAUUGCCUUCUUUAUAAUUUUCAUUUUUCUAAAAUUAAUAGCAUGUGUAUUGCAUUUCCUUGUAUUAUUAAAAUAUGCAUUGGAUACAUUUUAGGUCCUUCUUGCAUAGGAGGUAAUGAAAUUCUUAGAAAAAUAGAGUUGCAGAGAUGUGGCUAAAAUCUGCUUGAAUGAUGAAAUUUAUCUUCAUUAUAUUCUUUUGAGGAAAAAGCUGGUUAAAUGUCCCUAAUAGCCUAAGUGAUGGGUAUUUCUCUGUCUGUUGGAACCUUAAAAAAGUGUCCGUUUUCGUUAACUUGAAUAAAGAUAUCAGGGAGUCUUUCCUUCUUUAGAUUUUAAGGUCUUUGUAGUUCUUAAUAUGGGAAAGGACGAGAACAAAAUUUUAAGUUUGUGCACAUUGUUUUUGGUACCUUUACAUUUUAACAUCAUUGAAAAUGAAAGCAUCCAAGUUCUUUGCCUGUCAUGAUGUUACCUUAUGCAUUACACUAACAAUAGACUUGUCAUUCAUUCAGGCUGAUUACUAUGUACAUCCAGAGCAAUACAAACCUGCUUUCCAUGAGAAAAUAGCCCCGUAUGCAUCCGUCAUAGGUCAGUGAUGAUCAGGCAUUUCUUGUUCAUUUUCUAAUCAUUUUUUGGGAAAUCUAAUUCAGUAUCUAGUUUUACGUAUUUCCUGCUUGCUCUGACUACACUAGAUACAUCAUGAGCAUGCAGUUGUUUUCAUUAGUGAAUCAAAGCUUUCAAUGCUUGAUUGUAAGACUCUUCACCUAGAGCUUUGUAUUAUAUGGAAACCUGGUGUCUUCUUCCUCUUUUUAUGAGUUAUGUAAUUGUGUUACUAAAAGAAAUUUUUUUAUUUAUAAAUAUUACGAUUUUGACAUUCUUAUGCAAGUUAUUGCAUCAGCUAUCAUUCAACAGUUUUGACAAUUUUUUUCAACAUUCUUAUGUAAUUGAACUUUGUUACACCAAUUCUACUGUACCUAGUACAAGAAGUCUUUCAAGUUUUUUCUUUUUCUAGUGUUUUCAAGCAAUUUUGUGAAAAUGCGUGUUUGGUAAUCUGCCCUGCUUCUUCCAGUAAAUUGUAUGUACUGGGAGAGAAGGUUUCCUAGGUUGUUGACUACUAAGCAGAUUCAAGACCUUAUGAAAUCCUUCUCAAAAAAAAAAAAAGACCUUAUGAAAAAUGGAUGCCCACUUGUUGGAAUCUGUGACAUAACUUGUGACGUGGGAUGAUCGAUCGAGUUCAUCAACCAAACCACAUCAAUAGACUCACCUUUCUUCAGGUACUUUUAGCUUGUUAUGAAGAUUCUAUAGUAUCUGUCAAUAUGUUUCCUACUUCCAUUUCGAAUAUACUUUAUAUACUGCUCCUCGCUUCACUUGGAAAAUUUUCAUUUACUCGGCAUUUGAUGUUCAUUUCCAAUUUAAUUUACAAUGAUGCAUCUAAAUAAUUCUUUCCUGGUCAUUACAAUUUGUUAAACAUGGAUCCUAGGUAUGAACCUUUCAACAAUUCGUAUCAUUAUGACCUAGAAGGUAAAGGUGUGAUGUGUUCAGCUGUUGAUAUUCUUCCCACUGAGGUUGCGAAAGAGGUAAUCUCAACAUCAAGUGCUACAAACUACAGUUAUCUAUUUGUCUUUAUAUCUAUGAGAUUAUGAUAUCUGUACCUAUGCUAUUCUUUGAUGUAAUAGGCAUCCCAACAUUUCGGAGAUAUUUUGUCCCACUUUACUGUAAGCUUAGCUUCCUUUAGAAAUCUUGAAGGGUUACCUGCACACUUGAAGAGAGCUUGCCUAGCCCAUUAUGGAGGUCUUACUCCGUUGUAUGAAUACAUACCUCGAAUGCGGAAAUCUGAUCUAGAGUAAGUCGUUCAUCCUAACUUUAUUCUUUUUUAUUGUGCUUUUUAUCUCCACCCUUUUAGAAACCAUUGGAUAAUUCAUGUGUUGAAUUGUUGUGGGCAAUAGGUAUUUUCUGGUCUUGAUAUACGAAAUCAUCAACCAGUUAUUUUCGUGUCCAUAGGUCAAAUCCUCAACUAGAGUGAAACGACUAAAAAAUCCAUUUCGUAUCUAUGAUAGAUAACUAUGUCUCUUAUGUUACCACCAUCCAUUCCCAACUUGUUUAUCGUUGCACAAAUGAAAUUAAAUUAAACUUUUUAUGUGCUUUUCAAUAUGCGUUGAUGUCCAUAAGUUUUGUAAAGUAUGUAACAUACCCGUUGAAAUAAUAUUUCUGGAUCUGAUAUGAAGUAGCUUGUAUUUUCUAAUAUGAAGUAAUGAUGUUAUGUUAUCCUUUUGAUUGGCAGUGACCCUUCAAUAGUUCUUUCAAAUUCCAAUGGAAACGGGAGGAAAUACACCGUAUUGGUAAAUUCCGAUGUGUUCUUUAUUUUAUUAUUGUUAUUAAUUGAAGUUAUGGAUACGCAAUUUUGUAUUAGUUAUUAAUCUGAUACGGAAAUGGGUUUGAAGAAGACUAAGAAAAACGUGUGAUCUCAAAACAGGCAACCGCUAUCUAAAACUUGUGUUUCAUGUAGUAACCAACUUCCAGAAUUUGCUUAUUUUGAAAAGUAUUUUUUUGGCAAAAUGGAGUUUUCGAGGAAGAACUUCAGAUAGUUGCAAUCUGUGUUUGACCAAAUCAUUUAAGAAGCGCUUUUGUAAGUAUACUAUAGAAGCAAUUUUUUCAGAAGUGCUUUUGAGCCUGAAAUGAUGAAAAAGACAUGUAAGGAUUCACUUUAGAAUUAGUAUAAUUAAAUACAUAAGUGAACUGAAAUACUUAUUAUUAUGAAAGACCUUAAUUAAGUUUUUAACUUUAUUUAGUUUUAAAAUUUUAAAAAUAAAUCACAAAAUAGAGAGGAGCAUGUUUAUGAGACUUUGGUCCUAGAUGUAUUGUCAAUAGAGGUGUCAAAUGGGUGGGUCAAAUAGGGUUGAGUUAAUAAAUGGGCGAGUCAUUGACCCGCUCAAAAGCUACUUGGGUUGAAAUGGGUUGGGCUAAAAUAUGGGUCAUAACCCAACUCGCUCAAUUCUUACCAAUUAGGUUUAAUUGCUUUACUUUGUUCUUUUAUAAACCUUUAGUACCUAAUAAAAUUAUUUUUUUCUUUAUUAUAACUAUGUAUAACAUAUGAAAUAAGAAAAAUGUCUUUUUAAAAAUAUUUUGACAAGAUUUCUCAUGGGUCAAUUUGGGAUACACAUCAACCCAAUUCUUACUGGGUUGGGCUGAAACGGGUUGAGCUUAUAAAUAGGCGGGUUUUGACCCGCUUAAACUUAACGGGUUGGGUGGAUUGGAUAUGUUGAGCUUGAUUUUGACAUAUACCUAAUUGUCCACAUUGGAUGAGGUUACACUUUGUCUAUAUUUUGUUGUGAUUUUAUAGGGGCUUGAUCAUUUGAGUCUUCUUACAGGUUUUGGAUUUACUUCUUUAAUUAGAAACUGCAACUAGUUGUUUCUACUCACUGCUGAGUUAAGAAUGAAAUAUAUACUUUUCUUACUUCUUUGAUGAUUUUAUCUUCUUAUGCUUGUACUCCAUCAUCUGAAAUUGACAGGUAUCUCUAAGUGGUCAUUUGUUUGAUAAGUUUCUCAUAAACGAGGCGUUGGAUAUUAUUGAAGCAGCAGGUGGCUCCUUCCACAUGGUGAAGUGCCAAGUUGGUCAAAUCACAAGUGAUUCGUCAUACUCAGAAUUGGAGGUUACUUUAUUUCUAACCUAGUUUUACCUUGAAAGAGAAGGGAUUCUCAUUAAAAAUAUAAAUACAAUUGUUUUAUUAGAAGAAUAUUUAGAUCAAAGAGAGUCAAAAUGAAAAAUCAUUGCCUACCAUGAGAAAAAUUGUGGAAUCUACAAACUUAUUUGAAAGUGUUUGUCCGUGUUUUAUAUUUUCGAAGUAAAAUUUAUCUUCCUCCAUUAUUUUUGAAGAUUCGGAAACAACCUCUCUAUCUCUACGAGGUAGUGGUAAGGUCUACAUACAUACUACCCUUCCCACACCCCACUUGAGGGAUUUCACUAGGUAUGUUGUUGUUGUUUUUGUUGUCUCUUUGAAGAUCCAAGAGAGCUAUUCAGUGAAAACAACCCUGCAAUCAUACACCACUAAAAAAAGUCGGGGCAGCUAUUCUAUUUCACUACAUAUGCUGGAGGGAUAUGCAUAUUCUUGCAUCAUGCUCUAGCCAAAUGAACCAAACACGAAUAAGAAACAGACAUUACAUAGUCUUCAAGAUGUUAGCAUUCCAAAACCCCCAAAACAUAAUGGUUGUCACUAUACUUCUCUCACGAACAUGUCAUAUUCCCAUUAUUUUAGCAGUGCUGCAGUUUCACUUCCUAGUGCUCUGCCCUUUUAUCGUACUUUUAUCUUCAUGCUAUAGUUGUUCUAUUUGUUGGAGAAGUGUUCUCACAAGUGAAUACAAUCAAGCUACAUAAAUACUUCUCUUUGAUCAUAAAAAUUCUGUGAACUUCUCGUAAUUUUCAUGAUUCUGUUACCUACUGGCAUGCUUUGCUUUUCAUAGACUGAAAUAUUUUAACGGAAUAGAGCUUCUUAGCUUUGGCAUAAGAGAGUUCAAUCUUCUGAUGUCUCAUCUCUUUUUUCGAGAUAGUCUGAAAGAAACAAAGCAAUGAAUUUCUCCUGAGAAUUACACGGGCCUUUCUAUAGACUAUCAAGGUACCCAAAAACAAAGACGAAAAACACCAAUUACUUUCUGGUGUCACUUUAAAACUUUCAGGUUCCUGUUGAUAAAUCCUAAAGCUACAGUUCAAACUGUAUUGCUCGAUUUUCAGUGUCAAAAUAAAACUUCAAGUUGUGAUUUUCAUGCUAUUCUUGGUUAAGGUGGAAAUUAAGGUGUUUGUUUUUUGUGGUUUCUUCUGUCAUGAAUAUUUACCUCUACGUGAUGCAAAACUUGAUGAUUCUUACUUCCCUUUUGCUUUCAUUAUUUGGGACAGGUUGGAGCUGAAGAUAAAUCCGUUUUAGAUAAAAUAGUUGAUUCUUUAACUUCCCUUGCUAAUCCAAGCAACUCUUUGGGAUCUCAAGACAAGGAAAACAACAUAUCUUUGAAGGUUGGGGAAUUCCAUGAAACAAUCAUGGAUGAGAAGUAUGACGCAAAGGUCUUAAUUUUAGGUGCCGGUCGGGUUUGCAGACCAGCUGCAGAACUUUUAGCAUCAAUUGGUAGCAUGACAUCUAGGCAAUUGCCUAAAUCAUCUGUAACUGCUGAUUUUGAAGAGCAAAGAAGGUCUUAAUUUUAGGUGCUGGUCGGGUUUGCAGACCAGCUGCAGAACUUUGAGCAUCAGUUGGUAGCAUGACAUCUAGGCAAUUGCCUAAAUCAUCUGUAACUGCUGAUUUUGAAGAGAAAAAUUGUGUCCAAGUGAUUGCUGGUUCUUUGUACUUGAAGGAUGCGGAGGAGGUAUGCAUGUAUAUCAAUUUUCAUGUGACUUCAUUGAUCACUCUUAUUUGAAAAGGAACUUCGUGAUUUCAUUUAUGUACAUUGGAAGUUUGAUGGUGUCUUUUCACUAACAAAACUUCAUAUAAAUCUGCGUCUUCAUUGUCCUAAUAUUAUAUUUUUAAAGGUUUGUGUAAGAUUUAUUUCUUCUUAUGUUCUCGUCUUUUUUCCACAUCACUCGUCUUCUUUGAUUCUCCUCCCCAGAUUCUUUGUUUAUCAGUUUUGCUUCUGCAGUUAAUGUUUUUUCCUGCCCCUGUGUCCAUGACUAUGGUUUUUCUGUUCUUUUCUUGUUUGAUUUGGAUACUGUUACAGCACAAAGUGACAAUCUGUAUUUGCUGUUUAUUUUGUUAUCAAUUAUCUAUUGUAUUGUCCAUUUACUGCACAUCUUGAUUAUAGACAAUAUAAUUUCAUCUACUGUUUGCAUGUUAUGGUUUGAGCUCUAUGUUUUCGCUUAUAGACCUCUAUGCUUUAUUUUUUUUUCCGUUAGUAAUCAUGUUUCAGUAGUACAGGUUACGAAAGGUAUUCCAAAUGCAAAAGCAAUUCAGCUUGACAUUACGAGUCACGAGUCUCUUUCUAGCUGGAUCGCACAGGUAUUGUCUUUUGAUUGCGUAUUGUGGUGAAAUGUUCUUCUUUUUGAAAAAAAUGGCCUUUGAGACAAUAAGUGGUAGUAGCAAGAAUAUUUUAUGUUUUUUGAAGCCUUCCCUAAUACUUAACAUAGUGUUAGGUCUCUUUGAAUUUAUGUAUGUGGUAAAUAAGUGGCUCUGUCUCAUGCUGUCAUUUUUGUCAUCGAGCAGGUUGAUGUUGUCAUCAGCUUACUGCCUCCUAGUUGCCAUGGUGUUAUAGCAAAGGCAUGCAUUGAGGUAUUUGUUUUCCCAUCGUUUCCUUUCUUUCUUAUGGGUAUCAUCUCCUUGUAAUUACAGAUUCCUAUCGUCUAUGCAUAAUAAAAGAGGCCCCGAUGAAUGGUAAAGCUAGAAGUGUUGACUACCUCUUGAACAGUUUGAUUUCUAGUAUAGAUAAAAUGCAAAUCAGUUCUUGAAUUUUUGUUAGUAAGUCUACGGGUGCAAAAGUCCCUUUGACGAUGCCUGAGGAUGGUGAGCAACAAUGUAAUAGACCUUCCAGGGUUGAACCACAUAAAAAGAACUCCCUAGAUUAUGGUACUGAAACAAAUGAAUCUUGAAUAAUUUUAUGAGUCAUAAUUCAAUCAAAUGGACCGUACCAUGGGCGAAGAAAUCAAUUCUGAGGAAAAAUCUCAACAUUUAUAAGCUAAAAUAUCAAUCGAACUCUCAUGAACUCCUGAGUUACUCCUACUAAAUGCAACUUGAAAUCUCCUGAUGCAGCUGAAGAAACAUCUUGUCAUGGCUAGCUACGUUGAUGAUUCUAUGUUAAAGCUAGACCAAGAUGCAAAAUCUGCUGGAAUUACUAUUCUUGGUGAAAUGAGCUUGGACCCAGGAAUAGGUAACCUUCACCUGAGAAAAUUAAAUGUUCUACAGUUACUUAUUUUUUGUGUGUGUGUCUGAUAAAGUUGUCCUCAGUUAAAUGUUCUUCUGCAUAUAAGUAGCUUGAAUAAGACCGUCAAUGAAUUUGUUGGAAACUUCUUCAUGCUAUGAUAUUUCCUCUGAAUGUGAUUGUGCAUAACCUAUGGUAAUAGAUACAGAUAGUACUGCAUUUCCAAGUUCGAGAAAAUAAAAAUAGUCGCUUAUAUUGCUGAAUUACAAGUGCCUGAUGGGGAAUAAAAUUGCUGCUGUAAAUUUGUGUUAUUAGUCUAAAUCUUUCUUGGGAAGACUAGUAUGCUUUUACCAAUCAUAGUCUAACUAGUGGCACAUAUUUUAUUAUAGAUCAUAUGAUGGCGAUGAAAAUGAUCAACCAAGCCCAUGCAGCAAAGGGAAAGAUCAGGUCUUUGGUUUCUUACUGUGGAGGUCUUUCCUCUCCAGCUGCUGCUAACAAUCCAUUAGCUUAUAAGUUCAGGUAUGCCUACUAAUUCAAUUAAAUGUUGAUUCAAUAAGGUUACAUUGUCAAUAUUGAGAAGCUCAAUUGUGUUAGCUUCUUGUUAGGACAUAUUUGCAAAAAGCUAUGGGGUAUUUCUUCUGCUUUCUUCUUUGGCACUUCUUGCAAAUGAAAAGCGCAUAAACUGGCCUCUCCAAAUUUCCUCAACAUUUCCAUUUUCCUUGGUGAUUAAACCGUCUCAACUAAAUUUUGAACUAGAGAGUAACUUCUCUUUUUUCCAACGUAAGACCGCAUACACAUAAAGCGGAUAAUUAUUUAUGUUCACUCACUUAAUCUAUUAUCCUCUUUAACCUACUGAACGUAAUAUAUUCACAUUGAUGUUUACUGCAUUCCAUCUUGUGGUAGUUAGUUUUUUUAUCUUACUUUUUGGUUAUUAGUGAAGUAGACAUAAUCUCUCUGUUAUCACUUACUUGCUAGUAUUCUCCCUAGUUUGUUGAUUUCAUAAUCAUUCUACUCAUUCUACUCAUUAUUAUUAUUAUUAUUGUUAUGUUGAAACAAUAUCUUGUUGGAGUCCAGCCGGAGCUAUACGAGCUGGGUGGAAUCCAGCAGCCUACAGAUAUCAAGGGGAAAUUAUCCAUGUCGAAGGUGAGUUGUUUAGCAUAAGAACUGUUUUGAUUUCUAUCCCAUGAAGAAAUAUAUUGUACUUAAAGUCUAAAACAACUUCAGAAUCUACUUCUACUUGCCUUUGUAAUAUGCAGAUGUUAGGUUCAUAUGUAUCCUUAGACAAUCUUAAAGAGUUUACGCCCUCAUUAUAUUUUUUUGGUCUCUGGCAGCCAAAAUUAACAGCUAUUCAUCUCCCAUGAUAAUCCACACUAGCUUUCCAACAUUCCAACUGCCAUCUCCUAAGUUAUCUCCGCCAUUCAUAGACCAUUGGCAUGGGUGGUGGUUGUCGUUUAUGUGCUUUUGCUUUACUAACUAUUUUAAAUGCAGGUCAGAAGCUUUAUGAUUCAGCUGCAAAGCUUCGACUUCCUGAUUUUCCAGCCUUUGCAUUAGAGUGUCUCCCAAAUCGCAACUCCUUAGUGUAUGGAGUUGUAUGGUAUAGCAGAAGAAGCAUCGACCAUCUUCCGAGGAACACUGUGCUAUGAAGGCAAGUUACAUUUACUGGGCUUCAUACGAAGCUCUUGGUUAAAGAGACUUGAGUUCUGGCCAAUGGCUCACAUGAAAUUGGGAAUAAUAGCACUAGAAAAAGAAAUUUUAGAUUUUAUGAACAUCCAUAUAAUGCAUUAAAAGGGGGGAAAACAGAAAGUUCAAAAGAAGUUGAAACACCAUCCUUCUCAAGUUGUUAAUCCGCUUUAUGGUUUUGGCAAGUCAAGUAUUCUUGUGAAUUGUGUGACUGCCUCAUCUAAAAGCUAUUAUAUGUUUAUUUAGGUAUGUAACACGCCACUCACAUUGGAGCAUCUAAUUCUUUUUCUUAGUCAAGCAUGUGGAAUUAUUUGUCUUUAAAAAAUUUGAACUUUGAGUACAAUUUUUCUACAUAGUUCCAAUCUAAACUUGGUAACAUCUUCAGAGUUUAUUUGGUUCAUGUUGCUUCUAAAUAUUAUUUUGAAAGGACAAAGCUACUUCCCAACUGGUGAGAUAAACGCUCAAAAAUGCUAAGUAUGUAUUUCUUUGGGAUUGUGGGAGUGUAGACUUGAUUGCUUUCCUGUCAUCAGAUAUUUGGUUGACACAUUAUGGAUCGAUAUUUUCUGCAGGUUUUAGUCAAAUAAUGGGGACACUUGUCAAGAUUGGAUUCUUCUGUACAGAAUCUACUCCAAUUUUUAAAAAUGGGAUCAGACCCACACACAGAGAGUUUUUGCUUGGACUUCUCGGAAUCAGUGGAAAGAUUUUGCGUGAAUCAGUAAUUGAUGAAAAAUACAUCACAGAUAGGAUCUUAGCUCUUGAGCAUUGCAAAGACAAGGACACUGCAGUCAAGACAGCAAAAACAAUAAUGUAAGUGAGACAAUUAUUUAAGGUCAAUCAGUUCUACUUGAAGCAUUGAACGAGUAUCUUCUUUAAAGCAAAUAUGUUGGUAUAAAAUGUGAAGUAUUGUUUGUUAUUCGUAAGAAACAUGUUUUGGUUGAAUGAUAAGGGGUUUACUUAAUAUCCAAAUAGCUUUUUGGGAUUUCAAGAGCCUACGGAAAUACCAUCAUCCUGCAAAUCUCCAUUUGAAGUAACAUGUUUGCGCAUGGAAGAGAAAUUAGCAUACUCCAAAACAGAGCAGGUAGUUCUCAUAAUCACUUUUUAUGUCAACUUAUUACAUGCCGGAUUACCACUAAUAUCACUUGUGUCAGGACAUGGUGCUUUUACACCAUGAAGUGGUAGUAGAUUACCCAGACGACCAUGCUGAAAUUCAUAGAUCGACACUCUUGGCAAUGGGAAGGACGGAGAAUGGGAAAACCACCAUGGCCAUGGCUCUUACAGUAGGGAUUCCAGCAGCCACCGGAGCUCUGGUAUUCUUCUAUUUAAUAUUUGCAUAAUGAUCACAAGUAUCUCUGUGUUAUGGAUGAAUCCAUAGUUUACUCGCUUUUGCCAAUUGCAGCUAUUACUUGCAAACAAGAUUAAAGCAAAUGGUGUAUUAAUGCCUAUUGAUCCAGAAGUCUAUGAGCCAGGUAGUUCAGCACCCUUGGUUUCUAAUUUUUGUCUAGGGAGAAAAAAUAUGUGCCAAUAAUGCAUUGCUUGCAUAGAAAUGGAUAAUUCACGUUCACGCUACUAGGGGGAGCCUUGACGUAACUGGUAAAGUUGUUGCCAUUUGACCACGAGGUUACUUGUUCGAGCUAUGGAAACAGUCUCUUGCAGGAAUGUAAGGUAAGGCUCCAUACAAUAGACCCUCGUGGUCCGACCCUUCCCUGGAUCCCGCACAUAGCGGGAGCUUAGUGCACCGAGCUACCCUUUUUUCAAGCAUACAAAUGAACUCUACGUGUGCUUAAGUUUAAAUGUUGUGCCUUUAUUUAUCAUUUAUCAGCUCUGGUUGUAAUUGUAAAAACUGUUGAGUGACAUAAUAUUUUAUUUUCUGUAAAUUUACAGCACUGGAUAUUUUGGAAGCUUAUGGUUUCAAGUUGCUGGAGAAUAUUGAAUAAUCAAUAAUGACAUUUAAUUUGUACAAGUUGGUUCUGGUAUUUACCAAUUUGAUAUCAAAAGCCUUUUUUUCUUAAGGGCUUCAUAUUAAUGUAAAGAGUUCUGAUUAAAGAAAAUAAAGUCGUAUAUUAUAUACGAACUAGGUAAAGUGCCCGCGCUUCGCGCUAAGUGAAUUUCUUAAGUUUCUCAUGAUCAUAGGCUAAUAUUCUCGUUUUCGAGUGAAUAAUAUAUUAUUCCUUUCUCUCUAUUUAUCUUUUCCUAUUUAUUCAUCAUUUGACUUAUUCCCUUUUAUGCAAGGUCUAUACAUAAUCUAAGUGUUAUGCAUCUUAUUGUUUUUGUUGUUUGGUUGACAAAGUUAAUUGAAAUACAAAAACACGAUCUCUUUGAAGUUUCUUUUUCAAUUUCUUAAGAAACUGCCUGAAAGUUGUUAUAUUAUGACUCGAAAUAAAUAGAGUUAAUGAUCAAAAACACAUGUGAAUUGAUGUUCUUUUUUUCUAUCUGAAAUAUUACCAUUUAUGUAUUAGAUCAACUCUCCUCCGAUAACAUGUAGCUAUAAAUCGUAAUAAGCAAACUAUAGUUAUAGAGCCUAAUUGAGUUAUUUUUAGUGGUUAUAUGUGAAAAUUCUCCUUUAUAAUACUCUAUUUUAUUUUUAUUUUUAUUUUUUAAUUUAUCUCACAGUCCGACCCAAUCUUUAUUACUCAAGCCCCACAAAACUUAUUCAAACCAAUCUAAAACACUCUUUUCUUUCAAAAUUUUGAGCUCAGCCCUAUUAAAUCAUAGGUUAGACCAAACCAACACAACAAACCUAAUUCAUAUUGAGGAUUCUAGCCAUAAGUAAUUCAUGAAUGCCUAUGUACAAUGUAAAAGAAAGAGUGAAAUUUCUAUUUUGAACUCUAAUAACUCACAACAAUCAUAUUGCAACAUAGCCUAUCUUUUACAUUAGUUUUUCUAACCUAAAUAGAUUAUACCAACUAAUUAAUAUUAAUCAAUUAUUUAAAUGAAUCAUAAUCCUACAGUAACUCUUAACAAAGCGUUCAAUUAGUUGAAAGAAUCUUAAUCCUAAAGUGAUUCUUUAAGCUAACUUAACAAAAUUGUGUAAACAAAAGUUAUUUCGUAGUUUUUUUUCUUUCAAAAGUUAAUUGCUUAAACAAUUUUUCCACAAUUAAUUCAUAAUUUGAGAAAAAAAAAUAAAAGGAUGAUUUUGUCUAAAACAAAGAGUUUUAAUGAAGGAAAAAGGCUUAAACAACAUUUCUAAGGAUCUUCGUGCUUUUAAAAUAGUAUAGACGAUAUAGAUAGAUAUUUAGAAAAUUAUUAUAGCUAUUUAUACUUUAUUUAUCAAAGUAUUCCUCCGGUACUUUUUAAUUCUUUCAGAUUCAACAAAAAAAAAUCAGUAUGUUUAUUUUUUAACGUACACACGUCCAUAAACUAGUACUUUAUGAAAGUUUGUUUUAAAAUUUUAAAUUCAAUGCUAUUGCAUACUAAAAAACCACGUGAAUUUUCAAUGGAUUUGUUCAAAUAGCUUUUUCGAGGAAUAUUAAUUCGAUCGAAAAUUCUAUAUAUUUGGCGGACCUCUUUCAUCAUCACAAAAAUAUUGCAACACAAGUAUUUCUUUAAAAAUUUUUCGUAACUAUUGAAGUCCAAAAGAAAAGAAUAAUGAACAUAAAUUACAAUCGAUUUCAUUUAUUAUAUUUAGUACAAAAAAUAGUUUAGAUGAUACACAGGAAAAAAAGAAUCUACUCUCUCUCCAUUCUUAAAUCAAGAAAUUGAUAUUAUAAUAAGAUUCCAAAAUAAAAGCAUAUACAUUACCUAGUUAUUAUAAUAAAUAAAUAAAUAAAUAAAAAAAGAUUGACAAUAUAAUACGGUAGCUUGACGAUUUUUAUGAUGUAAUCAAUCAACUAUACCUCAAUCAUUCUCAAGAACAUAUUUAGAUGGAAAAUAAAUAUAAUUUUUAAUCAAUUAAAUAAAUGGAACUUCCAUUCCCUUCUAAGCUUUCCAAAUUGUUUGUACCGCUUCUCACUUCAGCAGUAUUCCUUUGGAGAGAUCAAACUUUCUAUAUAGUUAACGGCCAUGCCAAAUACAGUAGUGGUAAUUUCUCUUAUAUUUUCAUUCUUCAAAUUGUAUACAACUAAUUUUUCGUCAUAAUAAUAUCUCAUGAGAGCUAUUUCUCUUUUUUUUUUGUCACGAAAAAGAGCACUGAAAAUUGGUACCAAGCACUUAUAUCUAAAUUCUUUAUUGUAAAUAAAGAUGUCCACGAUUUCUUUUCUCUGUAUUCCUUCAUGAUCAAUAUUUCAACACUACCCUUAUAAUUUACUAAUCGAGCCAUACAAAGACACUCAUAUAAAACUCCUAAACCAACUAUACCAUUCUCUUUUAUACUAUAUCUAGGCUCCGGGGUCGGAAAUAUAUGAAACUUUUCAGAAUUGGGAUCAAAAUAUAUUACUUGGUUAAAAGAAUCAACAUCGUAUUUUUCUACCUGUAUCCUAUAGUGAAGUCGUCCAUGCAAUGUAAUCCCUUCACUUACUGAGGAGAUAUCAUAAGGGAAUUCGAGUUCCCUCCAUUGUUUCUCUUCAAGACUAGCAAUUAUAACAAACUCAUCAGCAUCAACUCGGCCUGUAUAUUCCAUAAUCAACACUACCUUGUAAAUAUUCAUCGAGGAGUCGAAACAAAGACCCCCACGUAUAUUACAAUCAUCUUCCAAUUGGUUGAGCUCAAGCACUUUGAUGUAAAAUCAAAUGGCAGGAUUCCACAAGUAAAUAUGCUCAUUUAUACUAAUCAGUAUAAGACCAUGACAAGAACCUAAAAUCAUUGAACUUGGAAAAAAAAAUCUCAUCAUCAUGACUUAGAGGGUAAUUGAGUUCUUCCACAAUGAGUUGUUGUUUUAUUAAUUGAAAGGAGGGGUUAGAGUUCCAUGUUGCGUUGACAAUUGCUCCUUCUUCUCGUCGUUGAUUUGAGAGAUGAAAAUUUGGAUUUGAAAUCCAACAAUGCCAUGACCGUAAAACAUACUUGAAUCGUAAUAGAGCUUUCACUGGUAAAACAAAAAGAAUUAUCAUAGUGAUUUCAUCGGGAAGAUACACCAUUUUGAGAAGUAAAACUCUAUUAUAUAAAAUAAUAAUAGAAAAAUAGUAGAGAUUGUUAUUCUCGAGAAUUGUGAUGUAAGAUACCAUCAUAUUUAAUUAUUUAUAGUCUAUAGUAGUUGAACAAAACUUGUUCUCCAACAAAUUUAUCUAAUAUAAUUUUCAGUAUCUUUUAAUUUUUUUUUUCUAAACUUAAUUUCUAUUUAUUUUUUUCCGGAAAAGGUUGUUAUUUUAACUAAUAAAUAUAUUAGCAAUUAAUUGAUAGGCUUAAACUUAGGGAUUUCAGUUGUAGAUUUUUAUUUUUAUUUUUUCUAUAUUUUUAGGGAAGGUUGUUAUUUUAACGUGAUAAAAGAUAUAGAGUAAUUAGCAAUAACUCUAACAAGAUUAACUUAUAUCCAGGGUGGUGAAAUGACUAUUUUAGGCUGUCAGAAAUUCUUAAGGCGUAUAAAUUAUAUAAUAGGUAAGAUUCUCAAUUAUUUAAUUUUUAUAUAUUAUUAUUUAAAUAUAAAUAAGAAAAGAGUAGUCUAAGACAAUUUGGACUCUAAUUAUUAAGUGUCAAAAACACACCUAAGCUAUUCUUUUUUUGAGUUUCAUAUAUAUUGGGAGUGUGGGUAUCAUAUUUAACAUUUUAUUUUUGAAAUAAAUAAUGUUUUGUCUAGUGAAGUGUGAUGGUGAUAAUUUUUAAAAAAAAAUUGGGACAAAAGAAACGUAGUAUACGGUUGGUAUAUGUUUUUAUAUCUAUCUUCUAAAUGCAUUUUUUUUCAACAAAGUUUAAAUGAAAAUGUUCUACUUUUUAAAAUCGGUAUCUUCAAGUAAUUUGUGAUCACGGACUUCAAUAAUCACAAAUGAUUAAAUUCAAUCCUACAACUUGUAACAAUUCUAUUACAAGACAAAACUAAGCAAUAACUCUAUUGCCCACUAUAUUAACUAACUUUAGUUAAUCAUAGACUUUAAUCAAACACCACUAUGGCCAACUCUAGCCAUGAACUCCACGUAAUCAAAAUACAACUAAAAUGAUCUAUGAUCCUUUAUAACACAUGAAUAGAUCUUACAAGGCUAGGGUACAAAACACAACUCAUAGCAAAACCGCUUAAAACUUUUUCUCAAAUAAUUACUUUAUUAGGUACCUUGUUGUUCUUGUGAGCUUGUUCUUGUUGGAGAGUCUUUCGCUUUUUCAAAAACUUGUUAUGCAAAAAUUAGGUUGUUUCUUAUCAAAAUGUCCAAUAUAGAAUGUAUAACAACAAUCUAGUGAAGCGCCAUUGGUGGAGAACUCUGCCCCUCUUCUGUCAUGUCCACCUACAACAUCAGGUGUGAUAACUUUACAAGUAUUUACUUUGAUAUAAUUUCUAAAUAUUUCUUAUACCUUUUUAUAAUUUUUAUCUUUUAACAUAUUAUUUCAAGUUAUUGAGACUUAAAAUUUUGAAUAGUCCAAUAAAGGUUAUUGUUCAUAGAUAUUAGUAACUCUAAUAAAGCUCAAAACAAAAUCAAAUCAAUAUCAAUUAAUGCUAAAAUAUAUAUAUAUAUAUAUAUAUAUAUAUAUAUUAUAUUCAACACUAAGAAUGAAAAUAAUGUUGAAUAUUUAUUUUUAGUUUUACAUUGAUUUAGACAUUUAAAAUACAUAACCUAAUUUUAAUUUUUUUUAAUGUUGAAUCAUGUGUAAUUAAUAAUUUAGACAUUUAAAAUACAUAACCUAACUUUAAAUUAUGAUAAUUUUCAUUAUGACUUAUUAAUUUGCAAUAUUUAUUUUAUGUGAUUUCAUUAUUAUUUUUUAUUAAAUAUUUUAGUGUUAUCACUCAUCUCAUAUUUUGUGUUAUUUUCUUAAGAAUAACUUUAGAUAGUUGUAAUUUGAUAGGACUAAAGAAGUACUCCAUCUGUUCCUAAUUACUUGUCCACUUUUCCUUUUUUAGUUGUCCCUAAUUACUUGUCCAUUUUAACAAAUCAAGAAAGGACAAAAUACUUUUACAUAUUAUACCCUCAAUUAAUUACUUUGAAAAAGCUAGAACUUCUUGAGAAUCUUAAAUUUUAAUUUAUCCACUUCAUAAUUAAUAGGGGUAAAAUGAUAAACUCACUAUAUCAAUAAUUGUUUUCUUAAUAGGUGUGCCAAUUCAAAAGUGGACAAAUAAUUAGGGACAGAAGGAGUAUUUGGAGCACAAGUUAAUUACAUGUUUGUAUGAAUACUUUACCCAAAAAACUCAAAAACACAAAAAAAAAAAACCAAAAAAAAAAAAGAGGUUGAAAAUUUUGAAUUUUAUUAGUUUAAUUUGAAUGAUUGAAAAUUCGACACAAAUUAUUUGAUUUGAUAUUUAGAAAACUUGAAUCAAUCCACGUGUACACCCCUAAAAUCCUAUUGUUUUAGUGAAGGAUAGAUUCAUCAUCCUAAAGUCUCAAACCUAGUGUCACUAUCCCUCAGACCUUUUGCAAUUAUCCAAGAAAAAAUGGGGGAAGUACACAAAUAACUUAUUUGAAAGUCACUAUGUAAACAUAGCUCAAGUAUUCAAUUUUUUUUAUAUGUUUAAUACCCCUUAUUUAAAAUAGAUAAGCAUUACAUUAAAAACAUCCUUAAAUUUGACACAAAUUAUUAGUUUCAUUGUCAAAUUAUUGACAAUCUUAAAAACAUCUUUCCUACUUGACUAAUUGAACCUAAAUAUAUCCUCAAUCUGUCACAUGGUAUAACAAGUAUUUUCAUACUCAUGUAGGAGCAUGCGACUCUUAAUAAGAAAACACUCUUGAACUUUGCGAGAAUUAUUAGUUUCGCCCCCGAACUAUUGACAACCUUAAAAACACCACUCUACUUAACUAUCUGAACUUAAAUACACCCCUGAUCGUACCACAUGGAUGAAAUAACAACUCCACCCUACCAGAUUUUUUUCCUAUAAUUUUUUCACCAAAAAUAAUAUACCCACAUUAUGACCUAAUUUUUUUAAAAAUAAUCUCGUAAUCAUAAUUCUUAUAAUAAAUAUUUAUAAAGAUUAAUACAAAUAGUUGGAAUAUGUUUAAUAAAGAAUUUUGUACUAAAUUAUAAUUUGAGAUUGAAGACUGUAACGACAUUCCUACAAUUACAGUAAAUUCAAGGUUAACUAAUUACACUCCUUUAAUUCCUUUAUGAAUAUCUCAUAAUUAAGACACAACACUUUAGAAGAAGCUAAAGGAUUCAUAAAUCUAAAAAACUGGUGGAAUAAUUGAUGUCAAAGAUCCAUAGUUGGUCUUUGUGUAUUUACGCCAAAGUAAACAAUUUAACAAUAAGUUUUAUUGUUAUGGUUAAAAAAAUUAAACUGAACUGCAAUUCGAACUAAACCGAUUAAAAAAUUGAUAUUUGGUUUGAUUUGAUUUUGAUUUUGAUUUUAUAAAAAUAAACACAAAAAUAACCAAACUAAACGGGGAAAUUAUAUAUAAAAUUUUGAUAAUUAUUAUAUAGUAUCAUAAAUAAAAUAUAAAUAUUUUGUUAAAGUUUAAUUAACUUAAGUUUUUAACUUUAUCAUUUUCUCAAACCCAACACUUAAAUUUUAGCCAAACUUUUAAAAUCCUAAGCACAAGUCCAUCAAAAUCCAUUACUUUAGUUUUUACCUACCCUACCUCAAAUCAGAUAGUCACACUUUCUCUUAAUUGAAUUACUUUGUUUGUGUAAUAAUAACUCUAGUAUUGCAUAAUUGAAUCCACAGUAUCUGGCCUAUGGAUUGUUCAUGUACUAGCUACGUAUAUUCUCAACAAAUUUAUUACUUUCGAAUAGAAAAAAUCGAAAUAACCAAAUCAAACCGACAAAAAUCAAACUGGUGGUUAUUUUUUUCAUUUGGUUUGACUUGAUUUUAGAAAUUUAAAAACCCACUAAAUUGAUUUAAUUUUGAUUUUAAUCAAUAACCAAUCCAUAAACACCAUUUCCAAGGUUCUUGACAACUUUUAUAUAAUUUGUUAACUUUCACAAUAUGACUGUCUUUAUAUUGUGAAUUUGCUUCUAGAUUGGAGGUUGUUUGAGCCGAAUAAGCAAUAUUAUCAAACUGAUUGCAAUUUUUUUUUGUCCGUGAAAAUCUCUCCAAAGCACCCUCUACUUCUUAAUAGGCCAUGAACUAGAUCAGAAUCAUUUUUUAAAUUAUUCCUACUUCAACAACUACAAGUCUACAUUUUUACCCAAUCCACUGAUGAACAUUUCUACCCAAUCUGGGAAGUGGCAUCCACUGAUGAAUGGUUAUACGACGAUGGUCCUUAUGAACUAAUCGUUCAACACUUCUUACUUGACAUAGCUUGUUACAUGGGUCGUGCGUGGGAGCUUAGCUUCUGUCUCUUGUAAAAGUCUUUGCUAAGGACCAGAAAGAAGUGUAUUUGGACAUGCAAUACUUGGAAAGUUUCAAAUACUUUAUCUGAAGUUUGCAAACACUGGGUAUCUUAAAAAACCAAAAUUAACUUAAAUUGCAGAGGGUGCAAUUCCCAUAAAAGAAAAAAGAACACAUACUUCAACUAAAAAAUAAAUUUCUAGAAUAUUGUCUUUACCUUAUGAAUUGCAAGUAGAGUGAGCCCAUCUCAGGCUUCAACUCAAAACUAUCUAAAGAAGUCCUCCUUACUAAGUCACUCUGAAGAUUUUUUAUCUAUACAGAGAAAUAAAGGUUAAAUGGGAAGAUAAGAGAUAUUCUACAUGUCUACCAACUUCUUAACAGCAGAGGCUUAACCCCCCUUUGAUCACCAGGUUUACCAUUGCUUCUAAAUUAUGGAGUCGAAUAGAAAAAAAAUCAAUGCAUUUUCUUUUCUUUCCUUUCCUUUCCUGAGUCUACUUUGGAGAGGAAUUCGUCGGAACUAUCCAUGAAGCUAAUUGAUGCUCCACUUCUCCCCAGUUGUGCACUUUCUUAACCAUGGGAUGCCCAUUAAGUGACGCACUUUUCGACCAUGGGUAUGAAUUUUCAUAAUCAAAUAGAAGAACCUUGAUUCCAACUUCCGCGCACUCAAUAGCAUACCUCGGAUUGUCAUCAAUCAAAACAUUUGCUCCCAGGGACCUAGCACAACCAGUUAUCUAAAGUUAGUCAAACAGUGUACAUACACAAGUCUUCCACAGGUCUAACAAGACAAUAUAGUGGGACGGAGAAUAUGGUCUUCUAGCUAGAUACAAAAACAAGAGGGGCAACAAUCGUCUGCUUUGUAACAUUAUGUGAAAAAACUGAAAAUGGUGUAUCUAAGGUCGUCUGCUUUGUAACAUUAUGUGAAAAAGACUGAAAAUGGUGUAUCUAAGGUCAAACAACUUACAAUAACAAGAGUUAAAGAGGCCUAAGGAAUAUAAUUUUGUAAGUUAGCUAGAUAUCAAAAUGGAUGGUGGCAUCAAUCUUCUGCUUAUGACAUUAUCUGAAAAUGGCGAGGCAUUGCAGAAAAAUAGAACAAAGAGAAAGCAAAAUGCAAAGGGCGAUUGAUAACAUAUACCUACAAAUAUCUGAUUUGGCUAUUGACUGCCCAUUCAGCGCAAAGUGAUUCCCGAAGUGCAUUUCCUGAAACAAACCUGGAUAAUGCCUCUCAAUCCACUCAAUCGUAUGAUCUUUGAUGGCAUUUUGUCGGGACCUAUAAAACAUUGGUCAAAUUAGUUCCUAAGAAAAUACCCCAUGCAAAAGGUAUCAAUUAAUUGAAGCAACCGAAGGGUCCUCAAAUUACGUACGUCACAAUUGAUAGAUUACAGAAUCUAGACAACUUUUGAAGAGUCUGUUGAGAACCGGGAAUUGGAUGAAUUCCGGUCUUGAAAUAAGAGGUCUUGAAGAAUUCAUGGACACGGAUAUCAGCUGCCACAAUAUUUAUGUAAAGUUAAAAACAGAAAUGUUGUCGGACCACAAAUGCAUAACCUUGAAUAACAAUAUAACAUACACAAAUAUCCCAUAAAAAAACAAAAUGAAUGCAUUGAAGGAUCAAAAUCAAAUUAAUCUGAUGCCAUAUGUCUAAAGAAUUGCAGCAGUCCACACCCAUCAAGUUUUCAGUUAUCACUACACUAGAAAACAAACAGCAUACAGUCUGUUUAUUUAAACUUUAACAAUUUCAGUUGCCAAUUGAAGUCUUUUCUAUAGUCAAAGUAUUUAUUUUUUCUUGAUUAGUCAAAGUAUUAUAAAUGUCAAUUAAAAUUAAGAAGAGCAAUAGAAGUAAGGGAACAGGAAACAAAGGCGCGGCAAAACAAUACAUUCAGAACGCACCAAGAGUGAUACUUGCUUGGAGGAAUAGAGGCAAGAAGAGCAUACACAGAAGUAGAAACAUCCAAGAAGAGAAAAAGAAGCAGGGUUGGAGCCAAAACAGAGAAAAAAGUGGCACAUGAGAAGUAGAAGACAAAAAAGAAGAGAAGAGUGCAGGGCGGAAGAAGCAAUAGGAGAUAGCAAAGCAAAAACUGCAGAAGACGAGAUAGGUAAACUAAUCCAAAAGAUGAAGAAAGAAAGAUGGAUAACUGUACUUGUAUGCUGGAGUGUAGAACAAGCAGUUAGAAGUUGGGAGCAUUCAAAGUUGAAGCCUGGAUGGCAGACAGACAAAGCCGCAAAGGAUGCAACCGAUAUGACCGAAGGCCUUAAUCCUCUCCUUUUCUGUAUCCCUUUGCAAGCGAACCAUAGCUUAGAAAAUGACACCAAUUAUAGGACACCACACUGAAUGUCUAUGUGCUUUGUUGCAAUCACUUUUCACACUAUUACCGAUAAUCUCUUUCAGGAAAUCCAUUCCUUUUAGCGUCUCAUUUCAGUUGUUUGGGGAGGAGGACUGUUAAUCCCUUAUAUGCUAGCAACCUAACUUAAAGAGUGAAGCAAUUUGUCUAUGAAAUCUUCCAAAUGCAGGGUCCUGGAUCAGAUAAUAUAGUGAUCAUAAAAGAUCGGAAAGGUAAACUUCACAGUAGGUCAUCUUUGACAGAGUUUUCAGCAUUGCAGAAGCAUUACUUUCAAUCUAAUUGGAAAAAGUGAGACUAAAAUGAGACCAAAAGGAGACAAUUUUAUCAAUGGAAGGAACUUGGCCAUAAUAGCAUACGGAAGGAAAAAAAUAACAGAGCUUAGUCACAUUGACAACAAUGGUGUCCAACAAUUCCACGGGGUACCUGUUAUCUCUCACCAGCACGAGGGACUUCUAAUUUAUCCCCUUGUAUGCUAUUACACUAACUUUUAGUGUGAAGAAAUUUCUCUAUCAAAUCAGCCAAAUGCAGGGUCCUGGAUAGAUAAUAUAGUGAUCAUGUAGGUAAGGUGAUAAAAGAAUGCCGAGAGACUAAAGUGAGACCACAAUGACAAUUUUAUUAACGGAAGUAACUUGGUUAUAAUAGCAUAUCAGGGGAAAAAAAGGAGCUUAGUCACAUUUUUUGUGAAAAUGAUGGUAUCCAACUAUUCCAUCCAUGGGGUACCUGCUAUCUCUCAAUGGUACCCGAUAAUUCUGCCCAUCGAGGCUUCAGCAAAUGGGAAAAAUUCACCUAUGGUUUAUGGCCUCUAUGCUAGAUAUAUUUUUCAAAGACCACCUGGUACAUAUGUCACAAAAGGGAAAACAUGGUGGAGAACAUAAAUCUUAGCCUCCCUCUACUAGGGUUUGAAUCCUGGUCUCCAAGUUUUCCCCUUAAUUGACUGCUAAGCCACACCCUUGGGUGGAACUUAGUAGUAAUAUUAUGACCAAAAUAAAAUUAAAAAAUCUCACUCCAGCUUAAACUGUACCCUAAAUGUCAUCACCACUUUAUCACAGAUAUCACAAACACGAGCAUGCCAAAUACCUCCAAUCUGAAGUGGAUAAACAAAAGGAGAGCAAAAGUUGGGAAAACACCUUGAAAUAGUUGCUUCUACCUAAAUAACUCAACUGAAAGGAAAGACCCAAUAAUACCUUCAUCUCUUGAGCACUUCCAUAUCUGCAAUGAUUAGAGAAAAGGUAGCUCAGAAAAGUACAACGUUGCAGGAGAAGGGAUAUAUUAAGGUAACCAAACAAGUGAUACCUCCUCAGUUACAACAGCAUUUCGUAAAUUUCACUACCAUUUCUUUGUUUACCAAUUUAACUCUUUUGAUAGGUAAAAGUGGAUUAAUCGUUAAUACCAAUUAGCAAUCAAGUAGAGGACCAUUUGCGAAAGAAACCAAUAAAUAUACACAAAAGUCAACUUACAAAAAAAAUGAAAACACAGAACCCAAAAUGACCUCCUUACCAAAAUAUAUAAUUCCUAGCAACACAUCUAUCUUCCUGGAUCCAAACUAAAACCUUUUCACCUAGAUUACUUCCAACCUAAGUUGCUCGGACUCUCCUAAAAUGUUGCCACACCCGUGUUGGAUCCUCCAAAAAUGCACUGCGUUUGAAGGAUCCGACACGCACCCGAUGACAUUUUUGAAGAGUUCGAGCAACAUAGCUUCCCACUACCAUAAUUUAAACCACACUUUAAAGUCUUAAUUCGGACUGUUAUCUUGUACUUGAUCUCUUUUUGUUGUUCUCUUAGUUUGCCUUCUAGCCAUGUUGCAUCAAUUUUUCAUGACUCCUUGCCUAUCUUCACUUCCACCCCAAGAGACUUCCAAAGUUGCCCAAUAUCUGUCUGUCAUUUAGUCUUUUGCGUUCUUUCCACUACAAUUAAGGAUAUUGUCAAAUCAUGUAAUUCAAACUUCAUAUUUGACCCACUUGCCAAAUCUUCCUUGCAGCUCCAUCAUAACAAGUACCAGAAUCCCAAUAACUACUUUGUCAUCUUAAGUGUAUCUACUGAGAUUCUUGAACGCCUGUGCUCAUGUUGAAUUGUUAUUCAUCUGCCACCUUCUUCUCAUCCUGCCUCUAUCAAUUUUGAAUUGAGAGAGGGAGAAGCAAGCCCACCAUCACAGCAGGAUGGAGAAUGGGAUUGAACUCUCAACUUUAUUUUAUAAAGGAGGACUGAACUCUCAAUUUAACCUUAUAUUUGAUAUGAUAUCUUCUCAUCCAUCUGUCCUAUAAAAAAAUAGUUCUCCUUCCCUUUUUCGAACUUCAUCAAACUGUGUCCACUUCCCUAAAAGACUUAAUACUACAAAAAAAAAUCAUGUGGCACCUAUUUUUAUAUAAUAAAUUAUUUCUUGUACUCUUAGAUAGAUCAGGCACCAGGAGAUUUAGCACUCCAACUUCUUUUUUUAAUUCUUACAAAAAACAAAAGUAAUCAAAUUGUCCAUUUCCCAUAUCAAUAGUAUAUAAAUAACAUUAUAAAUCUUCUUCCAAAUUGGGUAGGUGUUCUCAUCAGUUCCAUCAAAUGAUUGGACGAUAUAGGUAAAACCAUUCCAGGGCGCUGAGCUUUUAGUUAUAUUCAGUGUUAUCAAAGGUGAAAAGCACCAAAAGCCAUAGUCAUCUUGUGAGAUACCAAACAAAACACAACACAAUUGAUAAGCAUGGUACCUUGAAGAACUCAUAUACAUGAUACUCGGACACCGAAUGAUAUGAUGAGUAACGAUCUGCAACAAAUUCGUUGAGGGCUGAAACAAAGUUCCCAAGGACUGCAAACCAGCAAAUAAAAACAGAUAAGGAUGACAGGUGAGCACACAAUCAUUUCAUAUUUAGAAACAUAACACAAAUUUCUAAAAAAUAAGAAUUACAAGGAAAAGAUAGUGAAUGAAAAUCAGAACCGCCAAUAUUAUGUGGAUAGGACAAGUAAGUUUGCAAUCAUAUGUGUUUUAGAUAAGCAGGAUUACAGAACUACACAAAAAUGUUGAUAGUGUACUAUUAGGGUUCAGCAUCUAUGUAUAUGCAACUUUUCAUCAAAAGGGGUUUCUUGCUAGCUACCCUGAUGCAGGCAUUAACCACAAUUGUAACAACCCUACAUUUAAAGGGAAAGUUUAGUUUCAAGUACCUUCAUCAACAUCAACAGCUACAACGAUUUUAUCAUGUAAAUCCUGGUUAAAGAAUCCAGCGGAGCUUCCUCUGUGAGAUGGAUCAUUGUUAGUGUCAGAAUGCUUAGUAGCACUACUAGUACUAGCUUCCUCCUCAUCAUGUACCAAAAUCGGAUGAGGUGGAGCAAAAACCUGAAAUCCAUUCAUAUACUUAUUGUUGCUACCCGCACAACUUAUAUUUGAAUCAUUAGAAGAAGAAGAAGAAGAGCAACCCCAAAGCCUGAGACCCAUCGCCGCCGCAUUGUUAAAAGGGUAUUUUCCUCCACCACCCUUUGGAUCAAUGGAGGUAGAUAAAAACUUAACACAUGACAAAAUCUGAUUAUACCCCUUGUUAGAUAAUACAAAGGAAGAAUCUUUAGGUCCAACGGAAAAGGUAGAUGAUGUAAACGCCAUUAAAGAAUGAAUCCACCAAUUUUGAUGAUCAACACUAAAUAAACGCUGCACACACCUUCCCCUGCUUAUCAUAACGAUACUAAAAAGGAUACCUUUCCACACAUCUAGCAAAAACUCAAGAAAAAAAAAAUGAAAACACCAGACAAUGUCCUUAUGUUUGUUUACUUCCCAAUUAGCUUUUCAAAUGCAAAAGAGGAUUUUUAUCAACUCCAAGAAAAAGGGGUUUUCAUGCGAAGGAAAUUAAUUGUGUGAAUAUCGAAAGAAACCAUAUACAAUUACAUGUCUAGCAACAAAGGGAGUUGCAAAAUUACAGGUAGAGAAGAAUUCAGCCCUAAUAUCCAGGGAAUUCAUCAAUUGCCCUAGCCCAGUAUGGCUGUCAUUCGGGUCGGGUUUGGAGAGGGGAAAUGAUGUUCGGCCCAAUUUUCUACCUCAUUUAGCGGGCUAAUCGGGUCGGAGUGAGUUUUUAAUUAUUUUUUUUAAAAAAAAUAUUUGUAUAUAUAUAAAAGAGAACCCUAGGCCCGCUUACGUGGCGCCACCACAAACCAGGAUUCUCUUUUAAUUUAAUUAUUUCCAAAACUAGUUUUCCCAUUUCACGAAAAGUUGUGACUUUUAUGAAAAUUUGCAACUUUUAUGAAAAGUUGCGACUUUAAUGAAGAGUUGCGACUUUAAUGAAUAGUUGCGACUUUUAUGAAAAAUUGUGACUUCUAUGAAAGGUUGUGACAUUUUCGAAGGGUUGCAAUUUUUCCAAAUAGUUGUGACCUUUCCGAUAAGGCAUAAUAAAUAUUUGUUCACACUACCCUUUGUUGUCUAUAAAUAGAGGGAUUUCCUCUCAUUUAAAAAAAAACCAAAAUUCUGAACUACUACUACUACUUCUUCUUCUUCUGCACAAUUAAAUAUUCAUGUACUUUGCUCCUGUUGAGUGGCUCACUACUCCAUUGCUUAUGCUACAAAUACUAGUAUGUAUUUUUACAGUCAUUAAUUUAUGUUUAUAUUAUUAAGGAUAAAUGAUAAGAUAAUAUACUUUUUAUUUUCUUUUACACUAUUAAUGUUUGUUUCUAUGUAAUCUUGUAUGUAAGAUAAUAUAGUGUUUUAGUUUUAUUGACCGAUAGAUUUUAAAUAUUAUUUUAUAAAUUCCGUGAUAUUAAACUCUCGCUUAAUUUUACUAGUAUAUAAUUAAUAGGAAGAAACUUUAACAUAUAUGUAAGUCGCAUGGCAGCACAAUAGAAAUACAUAUGUAAGUUUAAGACAACAACUUGUUAAUUAUUUAAUUACCUUUUAAUUUUUUUAUAGCUUUUACUUAAAAACAUAUCUUAAGAAUUACCUUUUUUCACAUUUUGAGUUUCUUUUUAUACUAGUAUUUAGGUAUUUUUAAUAUUUUAAACAUUGUUUUUAAGAAAUAGCAAGUUGUGCUAUUUUACUUGCUUAGUGCGGGUUACCUCUCCUACGUAGUUUGCGAGCUAUUGCAUAGGAGCGGGGGUUUUACCUUGUGCGCACCUAAAGAAUAGCAGCUGCGGGUUUCCCUUGUCAUAAAAAAAAUAAAAAAAAUACUUACUUUUAUAUACAUUUUUAGGUUAUUGAAUUUGUUAACUUGUUUAACAUUUUAAACAUUUUUUUCUUAAUCAUGAUGAUGGUUAUUUAUUCAAUCUAAUUUGAGUUUCUAUUCCUAUAAAACAAUUUAUAUAGAUUAUAAAUAAUUUUUUACCACAUUUAGGGCUCCUUCUUUAAAACAAUUUGACGGAUUCCUGUAAAACAAUUUAUAUGGUAAAUAACAGAGUCCUAUUUCUACAAAAUAAUUUAUAUUGUAACUAACAGAGUCCUAUUUUUAGGUGUUAUGAGGAUAUAUUUUUUCAAUUUUCUAGGGUUUGCUAAUUAAACUUAUUUAAAUGAGAAAACAUUUGAUUCCAAAAUACAUAAAAUUUAAUCGCGGUAAAUUAUUUUUUAUGAAGACUUUUAAGAAAUACAGUUUCAGAGCAUGUUUGUAACACCUCGUAUCCGAAACAAACCAAAAAAAUGCAGAUUUUGAGAAGUUGAAGGUGCAACCCACGGUUGCCAUCCACGGACCGUAGGUCAGACCACGGCCCGUGCUGGUGGUCAGUGGUUCACCACUGCAACCCCUCCCCAACCCAGCUAAGAAAAUCGGCUAAGUCUCGACUCACGGACAGACCCACGGUCCGUAGAUCAGACCACGGUCCGUGGUCUGUGUCCGUGGAUCGAAGCUCCCUUUACCCAGCCUUUGACGCAAAUGACGACCAAACAGCACGGACCGUCGUUCGAUCCACGGUCUGUAGGUCUGACCGUAGGUGAGGGUCAACAGCCAGUUAGAUGAAAAUUGUUGAGUGAGUCAACUUCAGAUGGUCAUAACUCUUAUCACAAAAGGAAUUAUGUGUCCCAUGACCUAUGAUAUGAUAGAUAAUUGAAUCCUCUUUCCAACGCCACCGAGUUUGCUAAAAUCUGACCUCCGAGUAAAAAGUUAUGCUCGUUUUAGUAAAGCCCUGUCGGGCAGACUUGACCGACGAUCUCAAUCUACGAACCGUAGAUUGAAUGACGGCCCGUCAGUCCCGUCUAUCAGUUACUCCGACAGCAGUUAAGUCAGGGGUCUUUUGGUCUUUUCCUAUCUCGUUGGACCCCUAAGAUACGUCGUUUAGACCCUAAAUCAUGAGGUUUUAGUCAGUAUAAGUCUAGAAACAUAACUAGAACUUAGCUAAGUCAAAUCAUUAAUCAAAACUUAGAAAAAUUAGAGCGUAAGAAGGAGAAAAGAGGUCAAGAACCCUAGUUCAAGAACGCAACAAGUUUCCUCCAGUUCCAGCCCUAAAAUCGCAGGAUUUCUCCGUGGAAUUCGUCACCAGGUAUGUGGGAUUUCACUAGUGGGUUCCUUUCACCCAUUAGGUCCCUAGUUUUCAGUCGAUUUCUUGAUUCUCUUACUAUGAACAGACGUAUGGUUUCUAGAAUUUCAGCAGAUUAUCAUGAAUUACCUAUGAAUAUGUCCCAAAUCAGAUUAUCAUGUUUGUACUCAGUUUAUUGCAUGAAUUUCAGAACCCUAGUUAUGUAUUUCUUUAGUUCUUGAAUUACAUAUGCUAGGUUAGAUAUUUCAGCUAUUCAGAUAUACAUGCUCCAGUUUGAACGCCACAUUAUCAGUAUAUUUCAGCAUAAACCCUAUUUUAGUUAUAAAUCUUGAGAAGUUUCUUUUAAGACAACACUUGAGUUUUAAAUUGAAUUUUUGAGAAAGUUAAGAUGAGUUUUGAGAAAGAGCUUCUAAAACAUGAUUAGUAUGACACUCGAGUAGGUCAUCAAUGUAUGAGCAGUAUGGUAUCUAGAUAUACCAUCAAUGUUUAUGCAGUAUGACUUCCCAAGUCAUCAAUAAUCAUAGUAUAAUAUGAUUUUGAAUUGUUCUCUAAGAAGGAGUUUUCAAGUAUGAGUAUCUACAUGUCAGUAUUUUGAGUUAUUCAAUAUUUCAGUCAUAAUGUAUUCAGUUAUACAUGCCUCACUUUAUGAAUGCAUCGUUAUCAAAUUAAUUGUUGCAUUCUCAGAUUGCAUGUUCAGUUUUGAGCUAUCCAUUAUAUACAGAAACUCAGUCAUAAUGUGUUAACUACUUAAUCUAUUGGGAGUAGCAUAAUACCGAGUUGGACUAGGGUUUAGCGUACCCAUAUAGUCCCAGAACUACGAGCCACGUAGGUGUAAGUCCCCUCUGUGGGCAAUAUCAGUUAGUGAUCACGCCAUUCAUGCCUCUAUACCUUUGGUUGGGUAUAUUGGGUCCUCUCGAUGGGGCGUAUACAUCGGACUCCACAUUUAGCUCAUAUGGUUUUAUUGUCGGUUAUUAGUAGCUCCCACAGUUCAGUCAGAUUCUAUUGCAUUGACCAUUUAUCAGUAUAUCCAGUAUUUAGUUUCAGCAUGUUAUAAAUUGGUCACUGCAUUCAGUUAUCUCAGCAUUCAGUAUCUAUAUCAUGUUCAAAUUAUUUCAUUGUUUUAUUGCUUUGUUCAGUUAUGAUGUUAUUUCAACUUUACUCUAUCCUGCAUGCUCAGUACCUUUCAAGUACUGACGCAUACGUGCGCUACAUCUUCUCGUGAUGUAGGUUCAUGUUCUCAGCAUCCAGAUCACGCUUAGAUCGGUUCUCGAUCUUCAGUUCAGCAGCAUCAGUGGUGAGUCCUCAUUCUUCGAGGACUAGUGACAUGUUUAUCUUUAUCGUUUUUAGUCCUUUAGUUUCAGUUUUGCUAGGUCUAGUUGGGGCACGUCCCAACAUUUCUAGUUUAGAGGCUUAUUUCAGACAUAGUUAGAUUCAACUUAGUAUUGAGUUAAUAUCUUCUUUGUAUUAAACUCAUCAGUUUUCAUUUAUCUCAGUUAUAGUAUAUGAGUAUUCCCCAUUUUUUCAUUUUUAUUUAUGAUUUAGCUUCCGCAUCAGUUUAUUAUCUUUAGUAUGCUCAUGAUCAUGCCAGAAGGGUUAGCUUGGGAUCACUUGUGGUCCUAGGUCCCGUGUCCGCGUCUCGGGGUAGUCUCGGGGCGUGACAAUGUUCCUGUAACUUCCACAUUUAUGAAAGUUAGAACUUCCAUUAAUUGUCCACUACCACAUUGAUGGAAGUUACCUACAAUUAUAUAUAGUAUUCACUUGUUUUUUUACUUUUUUACACUUCUUAGAGUUCAGUAUUUUUAUUUUGUUUCAUUUUAUUUAAUAGAAUAAUCAAUAAUGGUGGCUAUUUGUGAUUUCAUUAGCGAAAUUAAGAGCAACUCAAUGUGCUAGAAAUUAAAAUUUCGUAAACACAGAUCGCUAUCGACCUGAUUGUCCUUUUUCUAUUGAGGUUAUUCUGAUGGAUGAAAAAGUGUUUUUGAUAAUACUUACACUUGAUUCUAAUCUGUUUUAUAUGUGUGAUUUUUUUUUUAUAACGCUCUAUACACAAUUCAAGUCCUAAUUAUUUAUUUGAUUGAAUGUGUAGGGCGAUCGCAUUCAUGCGAGUCUUGGCAGAUUUCUAUUCUCAAGUUUGAUAGAACAAAUUAAGAAAAUGAGAAUGUACGUCAUUAAGAAUUUAGUGGGCUUUCCAAAUACUAUGAAAUCAAAGAUCAAAGACCACAAGUUUGAAUUGUUAUUCAUACAAAAGACUGUUGUUGAGAUGAUAGAGGAUCCAAAUUUCAGCAUGUUUAUUUUCAAAUUUAAACCUUAUACACAUCUUACAAAUCCACAAGAAUUUGACAACACAUAACUAUUUGGUAAUUAACAUAUUUUUUAUUUUUUUCAAUUAAAUUUUUUGUUUUAUUACAUAAUUUAUAUUUUUUCUAUUAUUUUGUUCCUUAUUCUUACUUCAAUUAUUAUUUAUACCGAAUACUCAUUUAUGUUGUCACUGUUUUGUAAAUAUUAUUGAAGAAGUUGUGAGUUAUGAUAAUGUACUGUGUAUCAAACAAGUGUCUGAAUGUUCAUGAACGUUGACAUAUAGGAUUAUGAGUACACAUGUGUUGUGAACACGGCUGGCCAAGUUGUUGGGCUUGAGGCUAAACCACAAAGAGGCCCAAGAAUUAGACAGCCCAAUACUUGUUUUGCUUGGGAUCUAGGUUGAGUAGACUUUAAAUGGUUGUCAUCUGCGGUUUUUGGAGGAUUAUGCGUAUUAUGAAGAAGCUGCCUUUUCCUCUCAUCUUCUUUCUAGAGUCUUAACUUCUCAUCCCUAUUCUUAUCUCUAUCUUUAGUUACUUGUUAUUUCACUACUUCUCUUUGUAAUUCAAGUGUUGUUAUUAUAAUUUGGUUAUCAAUGAAUAUAAUGUUUAUGUAUCUGUAUUGAGAAAUCGGGUUUGUCUCAUUGGUGCUUUCAUCCAGAGGUGUCUCUAAUGGAGGACCAAUAAGUACUCAAGGCUUUCGUUGAUGAUUCAAUCCUAUAACUAAAGAAUUCUAUCUCUAAAGAUCUCGCUGAAUUUCGUUCAAUGUUGCUGGAAGUUUUGAAGGAAAAGGAUAGGACCUCUUCUGAACCCCUAAACACAAUUAUGGACGCCAAACUAUGGCAGUUUCGAGGUGAGAAUCCGGAGGCUUGGAUAGUCCAAGCGGAGUAUUAUUUCGAUUUCUAUAAAAUUGAGGAAGAUCAGAAGCUUAUGGUGGUAUCGCAUUACCUUGAUGGUGAAACAUUUCAAUGGUACCAGUGGUUAUUUAGGAAUAGUCAAUUAACGAAUUGGCCGCAUUUAGCUGAUAAGGUGAGAAUUCAAUUUAAAGAGAAAGGAUAUGAAUCCGCGGCAGAGAGAUUCCACAAUCUCAGGCAGGUAACCUACGUGACUGAGAACCAAAAUCAUUGUGAGGACAAUUUGUCAAGUUUCGGUGAGUCAGAUGUAUAGGCACACAUAUAUUCAUCCACGAUCGAGUAACAUAACCAACUCACAUGUUCAUGGUGAUCAAUCAGAAUGCAAAAGCAAUACCAAUGCGUGCAAAAUGUUUGAUGAACUGUUUGAUAGGUACGAAGAUUCAAAUCCUCUCGAUACAUCCAACAAGCAUAUUGAACUUUCCAUUGCCCCUAAUGAUCUGUUAAAUUCUUUCUCCCGACUUGUGGUUAAUGGUUGCAAUGAAGAGGCUAAAAAUAAAGAUAAUAAUGAUGAAGAGGACAUUGUUACCAUCAUAGACCAACCUAUAGAAUUCGUUAUUGCAAAUGUGGAUAAGCCUUCAUUAUAUAUUAAUUCUAUCGUAUCUAUUCCCUUUGACCUUGCCAUGUUUGAUGUUCACAAUGUUUUAGAUGAUCGUUGGAAUCAAUUAAUUGUUGGGUACUUCAGAAAAGCUUACCCUCUCGAACUUGUUCAACGUUGGGAGGAGAUGUCUUCUAUUCUUUCUACUUGUAGUUAUGCAAAGCUUAUAAACAGAGGUAUAAUUGAUCUACAUCGUGAACUUGGUCAGGCUAUACUUAUCUUGACUUGGUAUCUAUUUCCACCUGACCAAUUUGGAUUAGAGUUUCCAUUUGAAGUGUGGGACCCUGGACGUUACUUGCUUGUGAAUUCUUACAUUAGUAAAAUAAUUAAAAAAAUAAAAUUCAUGGUGUGGAUAUUAGCGACAUUUUAUUGCAGACAGAUAAAAGUGAUACUAAUGAUUCACCAGAUGAAAGAUCAGAUAGUUUUUGGUUUUGCUUGCACCCAACAAUACAUGACUUGGCGUUGGUACCAUUAGAACCUUUGAGUUCAUAUUUCACAAUUACUGGUGGUCAAACCUUGUUCAUUGAGUCCUCUGUUGGGUAUAGUUGUAAUGCAUCCAAGGGUUUUUACAUUGCAGGGGAAGUACACCUACUAGUUCUAUAUGCAAAUUUUGAUACUAAACCUGAAGGCAUAGUGCAUGAACCUCCAAGUGUGAAUGAUGACCAACAAUUUAGCCAUAAAUCUUUAUUUCCUCGACACAUUGGCGAUGUACAUUUCUACUAUGUUGCUGAAUAUGCCAAACGAACUGACUCUGUCUUCUUUCUCCUUGCUUCAACUGAGCUAGUGUUUAUGAAAAUAUUUCUCAUUGGGAAGGAUUUUCAUGUUUUACCAGUAAAAAGGCGAGAAACUUAUAAUGCAAAUGGUCUUCUAGUGAGUGCUCCAUAUGCAGAUGUACACGAAGAUGUGAAGCACGACCUCAAGAAUGAUAGUAAACUUCCAUGGACAUAUCAUACUCUUUGUCAUGUCUAUCAGCGUGAAUUUUGUUACAAGGAAGCAAUACUAAGUGAGGCAAAUUGUUCAACGCCAUGGAGUCCUUUGUCAUUUUUUAAUUGUACGCACAAUGAGGGGCGCAUUGCACUUUGUUACACGAAGAAAAUGAGGAUGAAGCUUACUUGCUCUAUUACUGGUGUUUUUCUACUGUCUUACUUGGUUGAGCAAAUGGUUAUUCCUUGGAUUGGUUUUAGAAAUGCUACAUCUUUCUCUCUAUCUAUUCGUUUUAACAAAGAUCCAAUUCGAGCCAAUGUGGAAAUGCUAGCUAUUCCAAGUUCUUCAACACUUCUUGGAAUUUGUUACAUGCCUCCAGAAGUUGGCGUCCAGAACUUACAAGUGCCACUGCCUUCUAUGCUAAAUCACAUGGCCGAGAAUUUACACAAAACAAAUGUUUUUGUGUUGAACUUUUUUGAGAAAUUCUCUUACGAGAGUGUUACAUUUCCCUCGUCAAUUUGGCUCUACUUGAACCUUGAGGACAAGGUUCUCAUUUCAGGGGAGAGUAUUGUUGUGAACACGGCUGACCAAGUUAUUGGGCUUGACGCUAAACCACAAAGAGGCCCAAGAAUUAGACAGCCCAAUACUUGUUUUGCUUGGGAUCCAGGUUGAGUAGACUUAAAAUGGUUGUCAUCUGCGGUUUUUGGAGGAUUAUGCGUAUUAUGAAGAAAUUGUCUUUUCCUCUCAUCUUUUUUCUAGAGUCUUAACUUCUCAUCCCCAUUCUUAUCUCUAUCUUUAGUUACUUGUUAUUUCACUACUUCUCUUUGUAAUUCAAGUGUUGUUAUUAUAAUUUGGUUAUCAAUGAAUAUAAUGUUUAUGUAUCUGUAUUGAGAAAUCGGGUUUGUUUCAACAUGUCACAAUUUAAUUAAUAAAUACAUGCCACAAAAACUCAUUAUUUUUAAUUAAUAUUCUUAACCAUAUACAUUUUAUAUAGAAAUAAAAAUAUCUCAACUAUUUUCUGGGGUGAAUUUGUGGAAUAGAUCAAAUCAUAUUUGGAUGAAUUCCAAUGACAAGCUUAGUGUCGUUGUCAUGCAAUUGAUUAAGACACAUUAAUUUCGAGGUUAUUUAAGUGUCUAACUUUACUAUUCAAGAGAACUAUACAAUUAGAAAACUCUUAAUAAAAAUUAUUAAUUAUGUAGGUCAAAUUCCUGUGAAGAACACUUGGCACGUUUACACGCUUUGGAUCAAUUCAAUUCUUCCUCUAAGUUAACGAAUUACUAGAAAAAGCUCACAAAGAAUUACACAAAUUUCUUCACCAAAGAGUCAAUCUAUUGCUACAGAAUUGACAUCUGAAGUACAUGAAAUUGAGGAUUUGAUUGACAGUAAGCCUGUAAGUAAUUAAUUUUCAUUCCUUAAUUCAACACACUUUUUUUAUAAAAAAAAUAAUAUAACAGUAAUUAUUUAAUCUCUAUUUGCAGCAAGAGAAUUAUUUUAUUGCGGCAAAGAGAAUCCAUCUAGAAAUAGAUCGUGGAUGGUUUUAUUUAGCAUGCAAACAAUGUGCAAAGGGGAUUGAUGAAAAAAGGGGUCAAAUUAUAUUGUAAAAGGUGUACUAUUCAAUCAGUCAUCCGUAGGUAUAACCAAAAUUCAUAUUUUUCUCUCAAUGUUUCAUACAAAUUCAAUAAUCUAAUAGAAUGACUUUUCAAGGUACAAAUUGCUAAAAGUUAAAGUUUUGAAUUUCACUGGCAAAAUUUCCCUUAUGUUGUGGGAUUGGGUAGAAACAAAGAUGAUUGGAAAAACUGCUACUAAUUUAUUUGAGGUAAGUUAAAAUUCUAAGCAUGUUUAACCUUUAUAUCGUAAGUUAUACAUUUUGUUCCAGUAUCUUCAUUCUAACUACGCAAUAUAUAUCUUUUUCUUAAGACUGUUGAUGCUGCAAAUAAGUCUGCAUAUCCUAUGGAGUUGGACAAUAUUGUGGACAAUACAUACAUGUUUCAACUGGAAUUAAAGAGCUCCGUGUCAUGACCCGCCGCUUUGCCCUUCAAGUUUUGCGCCGGAAGAGGGGAGAAGAAUCUAGAGUUGUGGAGAGGUUAGUAGAACUCUCUAGAUAAUUUUAAAGAAAGCUUUACAAUUCCCUAGAAAGUGUAGAGAAUUCUAGAGAGGGACCAAAGUGUAAAUACUUUAGGGACUUGUGUAAUAAUUUUUAUUUGCACUUUAGACCCUAUAUUGUAGUAUAAAUAGAUGAGCCAUUCAUUUGUAAAUCAUCCAUCCAAGCUUGAAGCAAGCAUCACUCAAGUUGCAAAGCAUUCUCCAAAGCAAUACAAGGCCUUCUUUCAAAGUUCUCUUGUCUUUAUUUACAUUCUCUUAGCGAUCUAAGUUUCAAAGGCUUACUUGAGUUUACAAGAUCUUGAAAGAUUAGUAAGUAAGUUGUCAAGUGCCGCACGAAGCUUUAGUAAGACUCUAAGUUCGUGACAACGAGGUAUCAGAGCAAAGGUUUGAUAUUAAGGGAAUGACUAAUGAAGGAGACAUAAACGCCACUAACACCACUAACGUCAGGCUAGAUGGUGGAAAGAAGAACCGCAAGGGAAAGAAGCACCUUAAGAGUGGCGAGGAAACGCUGCCCGAUCCUACACCAAGAGAGGCGCUAACAUCUCACCCACCUUCGACCACUGAAGCAAGUGACGAUGACCGUGGCGAGGAUCCCAUUGACAUCACACCCGAAGAGGAGUGGAUUGCAAGGGUUGAAACGACGAGGCAGGCCGUGGAGAUCUUAGGCAGACGCUUGAACAAGGUCGAUGGCAAGUUCAAGACUCUGGAGGACUUCACCCUUGAGGAGACCGACAAUAUCUGCAAGGAGUUGGAGGGACGUCAGCGUGCCGGGUUUGAGAUGAAGGAGGUUAUCACUUCCUUGGAGUGUCGGCUCAUGGAGGAGUUAAGCACGAUUGAGACCAUGAAGGCCAAGAUGAAAGCACUCAAGAAGGGCUUGGAAGUUGGAGGAUCAUUGUCGUUUGACCGAGAUAGGGAGGCCAAGGUCGAGGCUUCCAAGCCAUCUAUGUUCAAAGGCGUCUGUGACGUGCAAGAGGUGGAUAAUUUCCGUUGGCAUUUUGAGAAUUACUUCAAGUGCAACAGAGUGAAGAGUGAUGAGAGUAAGAUUAACACUGUGGUGUUGUACCUCUCAGAGAUGGCCAUGUUGUGGUGGAGGCGUAAAGAGUCGGAAAUAGGGAAGGGACUUUGCACCAUCAACACUCAAUUUCAAGUGGAGUUCAAAAAGGCUUUCUUCCCUAACAAUGUCAUCUAUGAGGCGAAGCGCAAGUUGAGGGAGCUGAGGCAGAUAGGCAACAUACGCGCAUACCCUCACGCUUCAGGUUCCUAACCUCAUGGAUGAAGAUAUGUUGUUUCACUACAUAAAUGGGCUGCAAAAUUGGGCCAGGACGGAUUUGGAACAUUGACAUGUCAGGACUAUCGAUAAGCCAUCACGCAGGACGAAGCUUUGACAGACUUCAGGCAUGAGAAGCCCGAUAGAGCUGGAGGAGAGGAAGUAAGAGGUAGUCAUGACCAUGGUGGGGGAGAUUGUGGCAAAGUCAAGGAGCAACGGCCACAUCCCAAGAAUCAUGAUACCUACAAGUCAAAUGGCAAGAAGUCUGGACGUCAAAGCAAUGUUGAGAGAAAGUCAGAACCUACAAAGAGAAACGAUUGCUACAAAUGUGGUGGGCCGCAUGGCUAUGCAAGGUGCCCUGAACUGAACAGUCUUGGUGCUAUCCUGCGAGAGCGGAAGGAGAAUGAUGCACAGAAGCAAAGACAAGGCGCAUAGAUUAUGCAGUUGGGCUUGAUAGGACUAUGCAGAGAUAUCACGAUGCAGCCAGGGAAGCCGAGAGAAUACGACGCACAGUAUGUCGACCUCAUGAUUAAUGGAAGACCCGCUCGUGCUAUGGUCGACACGGGUGCAGAGGCCAAUAUUAUGACCAAGACAGCAGCAACAAAGUUGGGGCUGAGUUACAAUCCAAGUAACCCUCAACUCAGGACGGUCAAUGCACCACCGACUCCCGUGUGUGGAGUCGCACAUGAAGUAAGCAUCACGCUAGGCGAGUGGCAAGGUAAAACCAACUUCACUGUCACUCAUUUAGACCUUUUUGACAUAAUUCUUGGGCAAGAGUUCUUCCAGCAGUGCCACGCAGUGAUCGAUCCUUACCUCCAACAACUCUUGGUCAUGGAGCAAGGAGGAUCAUGCAUGGUGCCCCUGGUUAAGGUACCAACGAUGGAAGGGCAAGUUCGACUAACGACCAUGAAGCUCGACAGAAACCCUAAGAAGAAGGAUUCGACUUUUAUAACCACCAUUGCAAGUUCGAAAGAAGACGAUGGUGCAAGAAGGUCCUUUCCACCAUGCAUGAAGAAGGUUCUAGAAGGGAACAAUUUUGUGAUGCCAAAGGAGCCGCCAAGACGCGUGCCUCCUAGGAAGGAGGUAGACCAUAAGACCGAGCUAGAAGAGAUAAGAAAGCAACUGAAGGAGUUGCACGAGGGCAUUGAUCGAGUCAAUGGACUAUUGGUUGCGCAUACGAGAAGACAAGACUCAGUUAUCUAUGCACCGGUGAUGCGAUGCGGUCGUCACAUCAAUAGGUGAGGGAGAGUGUCAUGACCCGCCACUUUUCCCUUCAAGUUUUGCGCUGGAAGAGGGGAGAAAAAUCUAGAGUUGUGGAGAGGUUAGUAGAACACUAUAGAACUCCCUAGAUAAUUUUCAAGAAGGCUUUAGAAUUUCCUAGAAAGUGUAGAGAAUUUUAGAGAGGGACAAAAGUGUAAAUACUUUAGGGACUUGUGUAGUAAUUUUUAUUUGCAGUUUAGCCCCUAUGUUGUAGUAUAAAUAGACGAGCCAUUCAUUUGUAAAUCAUCCAUCCAAGCUUGAAACAAGCAUCACUCAAGUUGCAAAGCAUUCUCCAAAGCAAUACAAGACCUUCUUUCAAAGUUCUCUUGUCUUUAUUUACAUUCUCUUAGCGAUCUAAGUUUCAAAGGCUUACUUGAGCUUACAAGAUCUUGAAAGAUUAGUGAGUAAGUUGUCAAGUGCCGCACAGAACUUUAGUAAGACUCUAAGUCCGUGACAUCCGACAGUCAAAAUCAAGAUGAAGUGUUUAGAGUUGUUACAUUUACUGAUGACAAUGAUAUUAUUGAAAAUACAAGUAUACUUCACACGUAGAUACAUAUAAGGUAUUAUUUUAUAUUCAAACAUUUAUCAGGUUUAAUUUGAAUUGAAUUAUAAUUUUUGUACACAACUUUUAGGAUCCAUACUUCAAUGAUAACCAAGUCAGUCUUGACGAUUGUGAAUUCAAGGUUAUUUUACAACAUAUUAUUAAUAUUUGUUAUAUUGUUCAUUAAAUAUAGAAACUCAAUAGUCCUUCAAAACUAACUUUAAAAUUUCUAUCCCAAUUUAUGUGACACUUUUUGAAUUUUGAGCUUCAAACAAGUAUAUCUUUGACAAUAAAUUUUUCAUAUAUCUUUAAUAUUUUGAAUUGUCAAUCAUUGUGACUUAUAAUACUUUUUACGGAGUUUAUAAAUAUAUAAAUUUCAUUUCAAAAAAUUUGAAGAUUCCAUGCACUAAUUCCUAAUCAAACAUAAACUAUUUGACUCAUCAAAAAAUGAAAAGUGGCACAUAAAUUGGGACAUAUAGAGUAAUAAAUAGGAAUAAUUGAGAAAAAAAUAAAUGUCAUUCUUGACUUUAGAAGCAUGUCAGUCACCUCCUCUACAUCUAGCUUUAUUGUAUAUAUUAGAUUAUUUAUAUUACAACUUAUAUAUAUUUAAUUAUUUUCAUUUCUUUCUUUGUAAAAUAUUUAUUUUAAUUUUUUUGUUACUCUAAACUUUUUAUUUUGUUUUCUUUUAUUAGUUUUUUAUCUUUUCAUUAAAAAAAUUCUUAAAAAAUUAUGUGUUUUUUUUUAAAAAAAAACAAAAGUGUAUUUUAUUUUUUAACGUUUUAUUUGAUUUUCUUCAUUUAUUUUGAUAUCCAUUUGAAAUUAGCUUAUUUUAAAUAUAAUUUUUCAAUUAAAUUUGAAAAUUAAAACAAAAGGAAAAGCAAUAGUUUAAAACCCUACAUAUAGCUACAAACUAUAAUAUUUUAAAGUAUAUUGGUUUAUCUUAAAUAAAUAUCACAGAGGAGGAAUGUUUCCAAGGGGGAGAUAUUGUAAGACCUCAGACUUCGAAAAGGGCUAAAAGGGGUUUGUACAAGUCACCCAUCAAUUUUGAGUUUUGGGUCAACUUCAAACAACUAUAUCUCUCAGAACAUAAAGAAUUAGGUAGCCCAUGACCUAUCAAAUUAAAGGUCUUUGAGUCCUCUUUCCAACGCCACCAAGUUUGCUUCAUUUCGAGUUCAGAGUAAGAAGAUAUGCCCGUUUUAAAGAACCUUCCUUUUAAGGCACCUUGUCAGUUUUUAAGAGGGGUAGUUUGAUCUUUUCCCACCCCUUCUAAGCUUAAGCCACAUUUUUUCUUCACCUAAUUAAGGGUCUAAUUUGUAUUAAAACAUCUUUUCAUGUUCUUCAAUACUUAGAAGAAUUAGAGCAAUAUUCCAAGGGUUCAAGCGUUCUUCAAGUUUCCAUCGAUUUUUGCCUAGAACCUUUACCCUUUUACAGGUAUGUAAGGCUAUCAUAGUGUUGGACUAGUUCGUCGUCACGCCUUACUUCUCAAUUCAGUUAGAAAUCGUCAAAUCUAAAGGAUUCAUUCAUAGUUCUUGAUAUAGAAUUAUGUUCUUUAACAAUUGACGCUUUGAGUCUUUUGUUUUGUGAAUCUUAUAGUGUUUUUCAUGCUUGGUAUCGCAUGAUCCCUAUUGAUUUAGUAAAGUUAUGUUUUCAAAAGGAAUUGUAUGAAAGUUCUCAUGUAUUGGUUUUGGAUUUGAGAAACAAGUAGAGUUAGGAGAAAUUUCCUAAUUCUAAACUAAUUUGGGGUCUUAAUUUAACUUGAAAAUUUGUCGAGGAUACUGGGGAAGACCUUGGGGCGCCGUGCCAGUAAUGCGCUAGGCUUGGCCUUCAGUAGUUCAAGCCCUGGGGCAGUGCGCUAGUAGUGUGCCCAAGCCUGACUUAUGAAGUUCAGGGCUUGGUGCCCUGCGCCAACAAUGCGCCCAGGCCUGACUUAUGAAGUUCAUGGCCUGGUUCCCUGAGCCAAUAGUACGUCAUGGAUUGUUGGGCCAAUUAUUUUCUUUGUUGCAUUCGACGUAUGUUCCUUUAAGUUGUGGCCACGUUUCCCUUCUCUGUAUUAGCUCCUAUAAGCUCCAUUUACCUUUGAAAAUUCCAGCAUAUCCUAAUCAUAUGUCUUAAUGCACAUUCAAAACUAAAUUGAGCUUAAGAGGAGAGUUCAAGAGCUUUUAUAGAGUUAUCAUUGAAGAACCCUUUUUAACCAACAAUGAUCUUAAACUAAUUUUUCUGAAAAAGUAAGGAUGAGUUUUGAGAAGAGUUCCAUACAUAAUUGAGAAAGAAUAUAAGGGAACUAAGUAUUCCCCAAUGUAACAUUUUUACAUUGAGAAAAGAGAAACUUUGAUUUCUCAAAAUAGUUUAUGAGUUCAGGAUAUUUCAGAGCAGUUGCUUCUUUUAAGAGGUUAUUUUGAGUAAUUAUCUCAAAACAGAGAAAGAAUAUUUAUACUUGAGCAUAAGUAUAUAUAUUUAUUAGGAGUAGUAUUAAGCACCGAUAUGGGAUGAGUUCAGACGACUCACAUUCCUCAUAAACUAUGUAGCCAACAUGGGUAAAUGAUCGUACUUUUUAGAUGACUCCUUAUUGCUUUCGAGCAUAGCUUUAGUGGAUCCACUUAGUUGAGGUGUUCUAUACCCCGAUAAGGUAUAGAACAGUUCUGACAGCGUGGGCAAGACGAUGUAUCAUCACAUAGCUCAUAGUGAUGAUUAUUGGUUAGAGAAUCUUCCAUAUAAGAGUAAAGAAUAAUUUAUUGUAUUUUUAUAUACAUGUAUCUUUUAUUUAUGACGAUUUAAACAUUUCAUCUCUUAUUAGUGCUUUGUAUUGAGUUGAGUUGAGGUGAGUAUUCUUCCAAUCUUAUCAAUGUAGCUAUUUAUUCGUUCAACGUUUUUACAUACUUGUACAUUCAAUGUACUGAUGUUAUUCGACCUGCAUCGUUCUAUGGUGCAUAUACAUGUGUUCAGGAUCAUCAACAGGUGCUCCGUUGAUAUCAUUUAGCACUCCAGUUAGCUUUUGGUGAGCCUCCUUGCAUUCCGGAGGACUCCCCCCGUUCCUUUCAGUUUAGUCAGUUUAGGGUGUCGUGGGUUUUGUCCUGACAUCCAUGUUGAACUAUAGAGGCUUCAUAGAUAUAUAGAGUUGAGGAGUCUCUCAUUACCUUCUUUCCCUUUGAGGGUGUUUUACAAAUUAUUAUUGCAUUAAGUAUUAUUUUCAGACAGUAUGAGUUGAACAUUUUAUUGUUUUAAUGAUUUACUUCUAUUUUAAGCCUUUAAAUGCUUGAGUCAGUCUUCCGCUAAGUAGUCAGCCAAGACAAGGAUAUGCUUGAGGACCAGCAGUGGUUCUCGAGUGUCAUCCAUGUACAGGGUAUAUGCUCGGGGCAUGACAGUAAUAUAUGACUUUUUUUAAGACUGCUGAUGCUGCAAAUAAAUCUGCAUAUCCUAUGGAGUUGGACAAUAUUGUGGAUAAUACAUACUUGUUUAAACUGGAAUUGAAGAGCUCCGACAAUCAAAGUCAAGAAGCCAAGAUGAUGUGUUUAGAGUUGUUACAUUUACUGAUGAUAAUGAUAUUAUUAAAAAAUACAAGCCUACUUCGCACGUAGAGACAUUUGAGGGUCGUUUGGUACAAAGAUGCAUAAUGCAGGGAUUACUAAUGCAGAGUUUAGUAAUGCGGGGAUUAGUUUUUAUCAAGUGUUUGGUUCAUUGUUUCCCAUUUAAUCUUAUGUUUGGUUUAAAAUUCUAGAAAAAGUUUAUUUCCCAUUAUACCCUUAAAUUAUUAUGAGAUUUUAUAUUUUAUUUAAUUUGUCAAGUUAAAUACUAAAAUAUAUUUAAAAAAUUAUUAUUAAUUUUGAGGUGUGAUAUGCCACCAUAGAGAUCCUUGAUAGCACGGUAUAUUUCUAAUUUUUUUGUUUGUCAAAUAUACCUUGAACUUAACAUAGAUUUAAGGCUACUUAAAUUGUUCAAAUACACAAAGCUUGUUUUUUUUAAAAAAAUAGUUCAAGUGGUCAAUCGACAAACUACAUUUAAAAAAAAACGAAAAAACCAACCCAAUAUAACAAAUCAAAUAUGGAGAAAAAAAUAUUAAUUUGUGAAAUCAUCAAAUCACAUGGAACGAAUUUGGAGAAUUUAAAAGAAUAUUUAUAAAUAUUCUCAUAUAAAUAAAAAAAAGAGCAUUAAAUUACAAAAAAAAUAAUUAGGAAAAAAGAUUUGGGGAUAGUUUAGUCAUUUAGGCGUCUUAUCCAAGGAUUGUUAAACUUUGGAUUAGUUAUCCCUCCCUUUUCUAGGAAUUAAUUAAGACCUUGUAUGAGGUAUAACUAAUCUAAUCCAUGGAUUAGGUUAAAUAAAGUAACCAAACAAUGUUUUUGUUGGACUAAAUUUUAAUCCAUGGACUAUUUUGAUUAAUAUCUCCUACCAAACGGGUCCUUAAGGUAUUAUUUUAUAUUCAAACAUUUAUCAGGUUUAAUUUCUAUGAUUAAAUUAAAUUAUAAUUUUUGUACAUAAUUUUUAGGAUCCAUAUUUCAAUGAUAACCAAGUCAGUCUUGACGAUUGUGAACUCUAGGUUAUUUUACAACAUAUUAUUAAUAUUUUUUAUAUUGUUUAUUAAAUGUAGAAACUCAAUAGUCCUUCAAAAAAUGAAUUUAAUUUUUUUACCUCAAUUUAUGUGACAUUUUUCAAAUUUCAAGAUUCAAACAAGUUUAUCUUGGACAAUAGAUUUUUCAUAUAUCUUUUAAAUAUUUUGAAUUGUCAAUUAUUGUGACCUAUAAUACUUUUUACGUUAUUUAUAAAUAUAUAAAUUUCAUUUCAAAAUUUUUUGAAGAUUCUAUGCACAAAUUUUCGGUCAAACUUAAACUAUUUGACUCAUCAAAAAAUGAAAAGUUCCACAUAAAUUGGGACAGAUGGAGUAAUAAAUAGGAAUAAUUGAGAAAAAAAAAAUGUCAUUCUUGGCCAUAAAAGCAUGUUAGUGAGCUCCUCUACAUGUAGCUUUAUUAUAUAUAUAUAUAUAUUUAAUUAUUUUCAUUUCUUUCUUUGUAAAAUAUUUAUUUUAAUUGGUUUUUUACUCUAAACUUUUUAUUUUGUUCUCUUUCAUUAGUUUCUUAUCUUUUCACUUUUAAUUUUCUUAAAAAAAUACACAUAUUUUUUUAAAGAAUAAUAAACAUCUUCUGUUUGGGUAGAUUUGGGGUAAGAGAAGAAAAAUAAUGGAUGAAGAUCUGGUUUCAAGGUAAUUAGCUCCAGAAACUUAUUUAUUUAUUUAUUGAUUCUGUUAGUGAAUUGACGGAAUUUUAUGUUUUAUUUAUUGAUGAAAGGACAUGACUUUGGCACCAAUUUCUGAUCAAUCUUUUUUUCUUAUAAUUGUAUGAAAUUAACUGAGAUUGAUUUGGUUUGUGAUGUAAGCUUACCUGGUCUUUUCAAUUGGGUGUACUACUAAAAGCUAUGUCGAACUUUGGGUUUUUUCAGGCGGCAACAAAACUAGUAGUGAAUGGGGGCUUAAAUUUAAGGUGAGUUUGACAGAGACAAUCCUAAUACUUCCAUUGGGCACUUUUGGAUUUCCAUUAAUCAUAUUCAUCCAUACAACUCCCACCUAAUUUUAGUGGAAACAUACCAUAACUACUAAUAUUGGUACGAUUUUGAAACUGGGAAAUUGCAUGAGGUAGCAAGUAAUUAUACUUUAUGCGAUCACUUCCUUUAUGAGUUCCCAAUGGAUCAUUUCAAGACUUUGACAGAAACUGUCAUGCAAAUCUCUGUGUUAUGCUAUUUGUGUUUUGAAUUUUGUUGUUAUUAUUAAUGACAUACUCACAAUGUGAAGCAAUCAAGGUUGCUCUAUUAUUGUUUAUUGCAAUAAUAUAGCUAUGACAUUUUAGCUUGUUUGUAAACAAAAUCAUUUGAAGUAAUUAAGAAAAAAAUUUCUUAGCAUUAGUUUUCACUCUUCUUUUUAUAAAAUAAAAUUGUAGCACCACUAGAAACAAAAAGUUUGUUCGAUUAUAAUUUACAAUUUAUGUGCUUUUUAAACCUAUUUUAUGUAUUGUGAAGUGGGGGUGGGACAAUAGUUACUGAUCUUAAAGAAAAAGAUAAUUAAUAGGGUGUACGUUUGAUUAGGUCAUAUCAUUUUCAUUAUUCUUGAACUUAACUAAUUAGUUAUGUUGAAAUAUGAACACCGAAUUCAUCAUAUACUUUCUUAAAGUAUGAUUAUUCUUUUAAAUCCAGUCAAAUUAGAAGAACUUGCGAGAAUGACUGAAGCUUAGGGGUUAAAAGAGUCCAGUAGUUAUAAUUAAGAUAAUUAUCAUUCAUAACUAACUUUUAAGUGGAUAUCCCAUCGUAUUCAAUGUAUUCACGAUUGUAAUUUGUUUCUAAUUAUGAUUAACUAAUCCUUAACAACAAAACUAAAAAACGCUCUAGAAAACCCUAGAAACCUACCCUACAAAAAGCGGCGGUCACAUGCCCGCCAAUACUGCUGGUGGGAUCAUCCCACCAGAGAAGUUCCCACCCCUACCUAUGACAGACAAAAUUGGAAUCCAAACUACCCACACCCACAAAGACUCUAAUAUGUUCCAAUAUACAACCCUUCUUAAACCUAAAAUCGUAGCUCCUCAAAUCCCAGUGAUACCGGUCAAACUAGUGAUAAUUCUAAUUUCAAUAGGGAGAACCGAGCAUUACAUGGAAGGAAUCCGAAGUUAGAUCACUAAUCAUUAAGGAAAAUUUGCAGUAUGCAAUUAUAGGGAAUUUUUUGUAUGGCAAACUAGAUAUUGCAGAACUGAGGAAGACGAUCCCAAGUCAUUGUGGUAUUAAAGGCGAUUGCUCGAUAGGGGUCUUGGAUACAAGGCGAAUACUGAUUAGACUUACAAUGAUGGAGGAUUUUGUGCAUUUCUUAUCUUCCGUAACCUUUUAUUUUAAGGCAAAGGAGAAUUACUGGUAAAUGUGUACCCUUAAAUGGGAUCCAUGGUUUAAACCUGAUGUAGAAACAACUAUUGGAGUGGCGUGGAUAUCAGUUUCAGAUCUACCACCAAACUUUUCUGCCAGGAGGCUAUUUUCUCAAUAGCAAGUGUAGUAGGCAGGCCCCUAAUGGGGGACAUGGAAACAAAGAAUCAUAAUAGGCCGAGUUGUGCUAGAGUAAAAAUCAAAGUGGAUCUGACUGCAAAGUUAACCCAGAGAGUAAAGAUUAACGAAGAAAAUGAUAGGAGUAAUAAAUCCAAGUGGAUUAAAGUGCAAUAUGAUUACAUGCCUAAAUAUUGCAAAUAAUAUUGCUUACAAGGUCAUGACAAACAAAACUGCUGGACAAUUCACCCAGAGAUGAAUGAAAAAGAAAAGCAAAGGGAUGGGCAAGAAAGCACACAGAACAUUAUUGGAACGACGACAAACCAAAGAAGAACUUUAACAAGCGGGAAAGUGGUAGGAAACAAGAAAAAUAGAUAAGAAUGGAUGAUAAGGAGAAGGAAUAAAUACAAGAGGGACAAAUAUGGGCACAUAGAAGGGGAGAUCGACUAUCAAGAUGAUAACGCCUUUGAAGCUCUGAGGAAGGCAAAAGAAAUAGACAAAGGAGAAAGCAAUGAGAGCAAAAGGGAAGGGGAAAGUACCAAAGAAUGGGUGAACAAAACCUUUGCCAUCAAGGAGCAGAAAGACAAGUAGGAAACUUAGGAAAUUCAAAAGAAAGACAAUGGAAAGAUAAUAGAGGUAGAGAAAUGUAAGGAAGUGAUUAUUCAAAGCAACCAAGGGAUUCAAGGGGAAGGACAGGAAAAAAAGGCUAAAGAUGAAUAAAAUCGAGGAAAAAUGUUAUAACGAUAUCAAUGAAGGUGCUAUAAUGAUGGCUGAAGUGAAUGAUAAGGAAAUUCUACCACUGGUUUUUUAGAUCGAUGACGAAAAGGUGGGGGAGGAUCAAAAUUGGGAUUUAAAGCAGAGUUCGAAGUAGAAUAUGGAGAAUGUAGAGAAGGAAAACUCAUCCCAAAAUAUAAGUCAUGUGGUUGUGGAAGGUGAUUUAUCGCCUAAACAAACAGGGAAACUCAAGGGAAAAUAUACCAAACAGAGGGAAAAAAAUGAAGAGGAUCUUACAAAGGCUUAAACAUCAUCCAUAAAAUCUAAGAGAACGAUUGUAAGAAAUCCUAACUAUCAAUGAAGGCUUUACUAUGGAAUAUUAGGUCAGUAAACACUCAAAAAGCAUUUACAAGACUAAUAAAUCUCCAUACGAGAUGUCAAUUUUACUUCAUUGGAUUGAUGGAACCUUUUGAAGAUAAUCAAGGACUAGAAGAGUUUAGAAGAAGGUUAGGCAUGGAACAUGCAGUAGCUAGCACUAAUGGGAAGAGCCGGGCCUUUAUUGAUGAGAUUUUUGAAUAUGAACUGAUAAGAGAUGAAGAGCAGAUGUUAAUUAUCAAAUUGAUGAAUCAAGGAUUGGGCAUUGAAGUUCUAAUAUCUCUGAUAUGUUCUAAGUACACACAAAUAAAAAGACUUCGAUUGUGGGAGUCAAUAUAUGAACUGGCAAACACUAGAACGAUACCAUGGAUGGUAGGAGGUGAUUUUAAUGUUGAAAGUAAUGAAGAGGAAAACUAGGGGAAAGGCCAGUUGUAGAUUCAGAAGUUAGAGACUUAAACCACCGUAUAAAUAUGUGUAAUUUGGAGAAUAAGGGUUUCAAGGGAAGAAAAUACACGUGGUGGAAAGGUAGAACAGAUGAGGAAUGAAUCUUUAAAAGACUGGAUAUAGGGUUGUGUAAUGAUGAAUUGCAUAUUGUCUUUCCAAUUGUAGAGACAGAGCACCUGAUAAGGAGUAGGUCAGAUCAUACACCAUUAUAAAUCACUUUAAAAGUGACCACUAAGAAGGUGAGUAAACCGUACAGAUUUUUGAAUUUCUAGCUAAAAGAAGAAUCUUUCAUGGGAGUAGUGAGGGACCACUGGAAAGGGACUUUGAAAGGAUCCUUUUAAUGUAUUUCAUCAUAAACUAAAAAGGGUUAAGAGAGAUUUAACGCAAUGGAGUAAAGAUACAUUCGACAACAUUUGAAGCAAAUCCAACUAGAUUAAAUCUGGAAAGGCUUCAUAAAGCACAAGCAGCCUUAAUAAAAUAACUUCAAAGAGAAGAAGAGUUCUGGAAACAAAAAUCUGGAAUGGAGUGGUUUAAGGAAGGAGAGAGAAAUAUAAAAUUCUUUCACACCAUAGUGAAAGGUAGAAGAAGUAGGUUGCAUGUAAACAUAAUACAAAACAAGGAAGGGGAAUGGUUAGAAGAUCAAGAGGAUAUUUCAGGAGCAAAAAUAUAUUUUUAUACCAAAUAAUUCGCAAUGCAAUAUGCUAGUGGAGAUUUUGAAUUGUUAAAUGAACUACCACAAGUAGUGAGCUAGUGGAGACAAGAAUGAGGAGAUGUAGAGAAUGCCAACGAUAGAAGAGGUCAGAGAAGCGGUUAUGGGGCUCAAUCAAAAUAGUGUAGGAGGAUCAGAUGGGAUGAUAUGUGCCUUCUAUCAAAGUGCUUGGGAAAUUAUUGGUGAAGACAUUCACAAAAUUACUAAAGCUUUUUUCUAUGGUGCUGAACUAUCUAGAUUCAUCACGCCUACGAACUUAGUCCUAAUUCCAAAAGAGAUGAUGGUUAGUACUUUUUCAUAUUUGAAGCCUAUAUCUUUGAGUAAUUUUUUGAAUAAGAUUUUUUUACGCAUCAUCCAUGAGAGAAUUAAAGGUAUGCUACCUCAAAUAAUCUCUCCUGAAAAAGCAGCUUUGUAGUAUAGCAGAGAAUGUCCUACUGGUUCAGGAAAUAAUCACGGAAAUAAGGAAAAAAGGGAAAACCACCUUAGUCAUUAAGCUGGAUAUGAUGAAAACUUAUGAUAGAGUAGAGUGGCUUUUCCUAUCUAAGGUGAUGAGGAUAUUGGGAUUUGGAGACAAAAUUAUUGAUAUGGCUUUUAGAUUGAUUAGCAACAACUGGUACUCAAUUUUGCUAAAUGGACAAUAGAAAGGUUUUUUCAAAUCCUCAAGAGGUCUAAAACAUGGCGAGCCUCUCUCACCCACUCUCUUCAUAUUGGCAUCAAAGGUGAUGUUUAGAGCUCUAAAUGCCUUGAUGAAAAAGAAAGAGUUUAAAAGGUUUGGUAUGCCAAAAGUAAGCUUGAAGUUAAAUCCUUUAGCUUUUGCGAAUGACAUGAUCAUUUUGUGUAAGGCGUAGGUAGGCACAAUGAAAAUGAUUAGAGAAACAAUGCAGAAGUAUGAAGAGGUAUCAGGACAAAAGGUGAACAAAGACAAAAGUGCAACAUAUUUGCACCAUAGUGUCAAUGGAGGAGAAUCAGUGGUUGCAUAAGUGGCGACAUGAAUCCUAAGGAAAUAAUUUCCCUUUACUUAUCUGGGUUGCCCUGUAUUUUAUAAGGGAAAGGAAAAAGCCUACUAUCAGCUAUUGAUUCAAAGGAUUGGAGCUAAGAUACAAGGAUAUAAAGGUAAGUUAUUAUCUUACGGGGGACGGGUUGUGCUGAUUAAAUAUGUACUCCAUACUAUCCCCUAUACAUUAUUUAUCAAUCAUGAACCCUCCAAGCAAUGUAUUAAUACAUGUGCAAAAAAUGAUUGCUCAAUUCUUUUGGAGUAGUUGCAUGGAAGGAAGAGACAGACACUUGAGUAAAUGGGGAAACCUAUGUCUACCAGAGGAGGAAGGAGGACUAGGUUUUAGACUAAUGCAUGAUGUAUCAAUGAAUUUGUUUUGCAAGAUUUGGUGGAAUUAUAGAACAAAACAAACUUUAUGGAGUGAAUACAUGAGAAACAAAUACUACAAGUUGAAAAUUUAGAAUCUGGCCAUGUGGAAAGUAAGAGGAGGAAACUCUCAAGUGUGGAGGAAAAUGCUAAUGCAAGAGAUUUAAUUUAACAUCAAAUACUAUGGCGAACUAAGAAUGGUUCAGUUUCACUAUGGCAUGAUAAUUGGAUAGGAUUGGGGGACACGUACACAAUUACUGGAGACAACUUCUCUUGGGAGGAGAGGUAUGAAAAAGUUAGGGAUCUAACAAAAAAUGGGAAUGGGAUGUGGAAUUAUUAAAUGAAACAUUACCCCCAGAAUUUUUCGGACAUAUCCUAUGCCAUAUUAAGCCUCCUAAAGGUAAUAAAAAUGUCAAAAUGGGAAUGGGAUUUGGGGAAGUUUUUCAUUCAAAACAACAUGGAACUAUAUAAGGCACAAUAAGGACCCUAAUAUAAUUCAUAGGUGGAUUUGGAAUAAGGGGAUGCCUUUCAAAAUAACAUUUAUGAUGUGGAGGAUGUGGAAGUUUAAGAUCCCCAGGGAUGAUAGGCUGAGAAGAUGUGAUCUUGAACGACCAUCUAGAUGCUGGUGCUGUGACAAACCUGAUCAAGAAACACUAUCACAUGUGUUCUUAUAAUAAAAAUUUGCUAACAGGACUUGGUCCUACUUAUGUUCUUUUCCAGGUCUAAACAUUACAUAAUUGUACUUAAGGGAAGUUAUAAUGUUGUAGUGGGGGAUCCACAUUAAGACAGAUAUAAGACCUUAUUGUAGAGCUAUCCUAGACUUUAUAAUUUAGGAAUUGUGGAAAAGAAGGAACAAAAAGAAGCAUGUAGGCAAAAACAUUUCACUGCUAAGAAUCAUGCAUAAUGUGACCAGGAACAUGACUAUGUUGGCUAAAAUGAAAAUGCCUAACAUGAUAGGGGGAGGAACCUGGCUUGAAAUCCUUAAGGAGCUAGAGGAAUGUAGUCCUAAAGUUAAGGUCAUCAAGGUUAAAUGAGAAUACCCACCGGUAAGUGGAUCAAAUACAACAUAGAUGGAGCAGCUAAAGGAAACUCAAGAUUGAGCUCGUAUGCCUACUAUUUAAGAGAUGAGAAUGGAGAUAUUAUACAUGCAGAAGGAGCCAGGAUUGAAAAUACAACAAACAUUAUGUAAGAGGCAAAAGCUAUUCUAGAAGCAAGCAAACAUUGUAAGAACUCACAACAUAAUCAGGUCAUUAUUCAAACUGAUUCUAUGUUAAUGUGCGAAGUGCUAAAAGGAAAAUGGGCCACUGCAUGGGCAAUUUCAGAUAUUGUGGAGGAAAUUAAAACAUGCUUACAGGAUAAACAACAUACAUUUCAGCACAUAAUGAGGGAGGGGAACCAACUUGUUGACUACCUAGAAAACAAAGUAAUAAAGCAGGGUACAUGCAGAUAUGGAGAUUUUAAUAGCCAGGAACUAGACAAUAAGAGAAUCUUAAACAAUGAUAAAAGUCAGAGCCCAUACUUAAGGAUAUCACCAUUAAGGAGCUAAUGGGGAAGGGGAGGCUAAAGCAUUAAGUUUUCACAAUUAUAGUAUUUACAAAAGCCACAGGGGGACAAAAGAUGUGGAAUGCUAAUUAGCCUAGGCUAUCUCAGCCAACAAAAAGGACUCGGCAAAAUGGGGGUUAUAAUGUUCAAGAACUUAAACCUAGAGAAAGCACUUAUCACUAGUUGGAAGUGGCGGAAUAAAGCUACCCAUGCACCCCUGUCGAGCACCACCUGGAGAAAAGUAGAAGAAGUAAACAGAGUACAAGGCAACAAAGGAAGUUUAAUGAAGCAGCCCUACCUAGUGAAUAAGUCAUCCCCCAUCAGAUGGCUUCGAGAAGCAAAACAGAAAGUGCACAACCCAUUGUACCGGAAAACACAACUAGGAACAAAUAUGUCAGAAACACAAACAAAGGGCAAAGGAAAUUCGAAUAGAAUGAAAUACUUAUUAUUGAUAGCUGGAAUCUAAGCUUGCAAGAUGACCUACAUCAUCAUGUUGAUGAUCCACAACAAUAUGAGUCAAAAUCUUUUGUUCAACCACAAUUGGAACACAAAUCAGAUUGGAAAAGCUUUGCUUGAUAUAAGCGAGGAGGCGGAAUUAGGAAAUGAAGAGAUUGAGGCGUUUAGGGAACCCUAACUUCUAGGGAUGUGUUUUGAAGGAUGGGAAUCCGAUGGGCUGGACUCA
rnacentral:lncRNA from 1 species